UGGUGCCAUAUACCCAAUAGUUGCAAGAGUCAUGGUUUGCUUCAUUACUUCACCUUCUCCCAACAAUUUGGCAACGCCAAAAUCUCCAACAUGUGCAACCAUGUCUUCAUCUAGUAAAAUAUUGCUUGGUUUUAUGUCACAAUGAAUUAUAGGUGUUGGAUGUCCAUUGUGGAGGUGUUCUAUAGCUACCGCAACAUCUAUCAUUAUGUCGACCCUUUGUAUGAUACCAAGGAAACAAUUUUCAGAAUGUAACCAUUUCUCAAGGUUUCCAUUAGACAUGUAAUCAAGCACCAAGGCUUUGAAGUCAACACUUGAGCAGUAAGUAAUGACCUUCACAAUAUUACGAUGAACUAUAUUAAGCAUAGCAUCACAUUCAAUGUCAAAACUCCUAAAUGCUCCCUCUGUUUGCAAAUUGAAAACUUUUAUUGCAACUUCCAUUCCAUCUGAAAGCCUCCCUUUAUAUACAUAUCCAAAACUCCCUGAACCAAGCGUAUUGCUUUCCUCAAAUCCAUUAGUUGCUCGUGAAAGUUCAGCAUGUGAAAUUCUUCUCAGUGUCUUCAAAGACAACAAAUCAUCUUUAACUGGUAGAGCUGUACUCCUUUGGCAUCUUCUAUACAUAAUAGUUAAGACUAUUAGUACUAGGACAAUACCAAUUGUUGGUAAACCAUACCUAAAAGCAUGCAAUAUAAUCAUUUGGGAGUUUUUGUGGAUGUCAUUUUUGCAAGGUGGGACUAGCAAUCUAGGUGGACCACAAAGUGCACAAUUAUUCAUGAAUGAUGUGCUAGAAAAGUUUGAAAAACAUCCUUUGCUGGGAAUUUCCCCUUCAAGUCUAUUGAAAGACACAUUAAAAUACUUUAGAUAUAAAAGCUUUUCCAAAGAUUUGGGAAUGACUCCAGAGAGAUUGUUAUUGCAUAAAUCCAAGAAUUCCAAACUAAUCAACCCUUCAAAUGAUUCAGGGAUAUGACCAUAUAGUAUGUUAUUUGAUAAAUCUAAUGAAACCAAAGUUAUAAGACCCCCAAAUGUGGAUAAGAUAUCGCUCGUGAGAAGAUUCCUUGAUAAAUUUAGUCUCAGUAGACUCCUAAAAUUUCCAACAUCAAUAGCAUGUGAAUUGUGAAGACGGUUUGAUGAUAAAUCUAUUUCUAAGAUAUCUUUAAGACUCCACAAAGUUGAGGGUAUUGUAGAACUCAAUUUGUUGGAACCUAACCAAAGAUAUCUCAAAGCAGAAAUAUUACCUAAACAAGAGGGUAUGGAUCCAUGCAGCUUAUUCAACCCUAAAUACAUCUCGUAUAGUCUCUCCAAACCACAAAGGCUUUCUGGGAUAGGCCCUCCUAAUUUAUUAGAGGAAAGACCUAGAAUUUGGAGAUUUCUCAUUCCUCCUAUUGAUGCUGGAAUCAAUCCACUUAAUUUAUUAUACCCAAGAUCUAAAAGCAAUAGGUUGGUUAAGUUACCUAUUUCCAUAGGAAUAAUGCCUUGAAGCUCACACUCUGUGGCAUGAAAGUAUUGAAGGGAUUUUGAAAGGUUCCCGAAAUAAGUAGGAAGAACGCCACUCAAUGGAUUUCCUGAAACAUCUAUUAUGCUCAAAUUCCUACAAUUCGUCAAAGAAGAAAGAAAGCUCCACUCAUGAUCAGUAGCAGAUCCUGUGAUCAAAUUAUUGUCAUAGAUUUGGAGCCAUACAAGUUGUCUUAAGCUGCCAAGCGUUUUAGGGAUUGGGCCAGAGAAUGAGUUAUCUCCCAAGUCUAGUUCCUUAAGCAUGGAAGCAUUGGAGAUAGAGUUGGGAAUGUUUCCGCUAAGUUUAUUUCCCCACAGUAAAAGAAUCUGAAGCUUUGGAGCAUUGGUAAUGGGUGGUAAAUUACCUGUAAAAUAGCAUCUUUUAGAAAACAUUCACAAAAUAUAUAAUACAUUAAAAUAAAAACUUUAAAUCAAUUAAGAAUAAAAUUUUGGCAUGGAAAAAUGUGAUGAAAUCAAUUAGAAAGUUGAGACAUAAUAAGAAGUUUUGAGUAGUAAUUAGUCCUUGUGAUUUGUAUAGACAAAACAUAUAAUACACUGAUAAUUUUUUUAAAAUAUUGUAAAACCUGAAAUAAAAUAAAAAAUAAAAGUUUGGCACGAGAAUGUGGCAUCUAAUCAUUCUUAAAAAUAAGACUAACAUUAAAUAAUAAUUAGUUAUGAUUUGAGAAACAAAAAUGUUAAAGAUGUAAACUGGUAUGAUUUUUAUCUAUUGGGUUAAUUAUUUAUUUUUAUUAAAUUAUAUAUAGUGUAAAAUUUAAAGAUUAUUAUUUGCUCAAAAUUUUUGUAUUUUAGGAUUUUAGGAUCGCAUUUAAUUCAAUUGUAUUUAAGACCUCAUGAAUUUAUUCUAUAAUUUGAGUCUUUUCAACCUUUUGGGAAAUAAUAAAACAUCGACAUUAAACUUGUUGUUGAUGCAUUCAAUUUGAUUUUUUGAGGGGUCAUUGGAGUUAUAUGUGAAUUUAGCAUUGAUUGACUUUUUUAGAAUUAAUCUUUUAUACCAAUUUAAUAACAUCGACAUGUUUUUGGGUAGGGUCGAGCAAAACCCAAUUAAAACCGAUGAAAUUGGUUUAGUUAACUCGGUCAAGUCCAUUAGAUGGAUAAAAUCAAUUUUAAAAUCAGUUAUUAUGGAUUAAGGUAAUUAAUUAUCGAGUAAUGAAAUACAUAAUCAAAUCAAUUGAUUUUGUUAGAAACUAAAAGAAAGUGGGAUAAGCUGAAAACUGAUUGCCCUUUUUUAGAAUUAAGGAAUCAGCCUUUUACAUGUUAGAUAAUAUGAACACCCCAUAUAUAAUAAGAAAAAUUAUGUACGAUUAUUUAUUAUCAUAAAUGGUUAGUUUAAAUUUAAAGUAAUCUAAUAUGUGUGUUGAACUUCAACUAUUACAUAAAGUAUAAGCUAAAUAUGUAUAAAUAUUCUAGAAACCAUUUCUAACUGAUGAUAGGCUAAUUUGAAAUUAAGAUUAAUAUAUAAAAACUAGAUAGUAGGGUUAUAGUCCUCAAACUACACCUAAUUUAAUAAAAUCUAUAGUUUUUAUAGCCUUAAACAUUUAUAGAUUUUGUUAAUUUGGUCCUUACUCUUUAAAAUUACAUAAAAAUUGCAAAAAUAUUUUAGAAAUACAAUUUUUUCGUAUUUUUAAUAACAUUUAUAGUUUUUUUUUUGGUUUGGUAACUUAUCAACUCGACUCUUAAUUGUAACCAACUUUUCUGAUUUUUUCGUACCCUUAACCUAAGUCCCGUUACAACUUUCUAAAGACCUCUUGAUUGGUGUAUCAUCUCGAUUUGUUCUUAUAGUGGUGGGGAUUUGGUUUUCAAGCAAGCCUAUGCUAAUCACAUUUUUCGUUCAACUAUUGAGCACACAGUACUUGAACCUUAAACACUUUGAGUGCUUUGAGUGAAUCUUAGUUAGGGUAUUGAUUAUUGUUGAGUUUGAAUUUUAGGUAAUUAUUGAGAUGGAGGAGAUGCCUAUUUUUUUGUGCUUUACAAAUUUCUGCUUAGAUUGCUUUUAUUCUUUAGUUUCAUGCUAGUUUCAAUUUCCAGUGCAUGAUUAUCUAUAGAUUAUUCAUAAGGCAUUGUCGGUGAAAACAAUAAAUUGAGGGAGAUUAACUUGAAAUAAAUUGAGGGAUAUUAACUUGAAUAAAGGUUGAGAAUUUUGCUUAAGGACAAACAAAUGCUUAAGUGUGGGGAUAUUUGAUAAGUGCUAAAAUUGAUAUGUUUUAACAUCAUUCUUAAUGUGUUUUUGGUUGAUUAUUCGAUGUUAAUGAUGCUCCUAAUCCUUACAAUUCGUGUUUUUAUGCUUAAUAGAACAUUUGGGAGGAAAAUGAGCUAAAAAUGAACGAAAACCUGAAAAUGGGGGCAAACUAUAGGACAUGGGCUGACCUAUUCCUCAUGACCGUAUGACUCACACGAUCAUGUGGUAGGUUGUGUCGAUUUCGUAGAUUUGCACUCUGAACUGUAAAAAAAGAAAAUUUUAGAUUUUUUGAGCAUUUUAAUACGUAUAUAUGAAAAAAAUAAGAAGAUAGGAGAGAACCUUCCUAGAAUAUUUAAGAAAACAACUCCAAAGACACUAUUGAAGUCGACUCUGAAGCAAAUUUUCCUCAAGAUUGAAGAUUCCCAGUUGGUUUCUUAAGAGAUUAUCAUGAGUUUCUUUAUUUCUUCUGGUUAUACUGCCCUUUGGAUGUUUUUAUUUUUAAGCAUGAACUAAUUUUCUAAAUACCGAAUUAGAGAGAUGAACCCUAUGAUAGAUUGUGACACCCCAAACCCAACCGGAUAGACCCGCCCGAAUUCAAAGCAUUUCAUUAGCCACCUAAGUGACUCUCCAGCUAACGACCACCCAAGACACACCUCGACCUUAUAACACCUCAAUCUUAUCUAAUUACUAGUUAUUUAUUAAUGUAGAAGUAAAUUAAUAUGAGCCAAUUUUAAACUUUUUCUAGGUAAUUUAACCUAAAGGCAAUUUUGUCAUUUUACCACCUAAUGUAAAACUAACCCGAUUUUAGAUCUAAGUGUUUACUAACCUUCUUUUAGUCAAAUUAUACAAGCCUAAAAUUUUCAGCUUAAUUUGAGUCCGUUUACUAUGUCUAAUUCAAGUUUUAUUAAUAAGGACUCAAUUGUAACUUAAACAAAUUAAAAUACCAAUUUAAAGAGACAAAAAUUCAAAACUCCAAAACCCACACGGGCAUGUGGGUAAGUGACAAGGGCUUGUGGGAUUGAAAAAUAUGAAAUAAAUUAAUCCACUCAAUUUUCCAACAACCAUGCUAUACUACCAAACCAAAAAAACACUUGAAGUUUUGAAUAGGGGCGAAUCUAAAAAAAAUUAGAAGAAUUAGAAUUAAAUUAUAAAAUUUUGAGAAGUUAAAAUAUAAUUUUAUCAUGUAUUAAUUUAUUGUUUUUUAAAGGGUCCUAAUAUAAUUUUUUUCCCAUUUUGGUUGGGCCAAUACCCCUGCCUGCCUCUUUAAAUUUGCUCCAACACUAAACCCAAUAUUCGAUUUGGAUUAACAACAACAUAUAGGUUAGUAUUUGUGGGAGUUUGACGAAUAAAAAUUCCUUUUUUAGAUGUUUAAAUUAUAAAUUUUUGAAAGAUUAAAAUAAAUUUGUAUUUUUUUAUUAACAAAAUAUAAAAGAAAAAAAAAUAUGUUUAGACAAGCCAAGAGAACUUUGGGAUCAUACAGGUGAUUUUGAGAUGUUAAUGGUUAUUUUGGUGGACAGCGUAAAAAAGAAACAAAUGAUUCAUUAUAUAUAAUAUAAUUAUGAAUUUCAAGCCAUAUAUUGUAUGUUUCAUCCAUAAAAAUUUCAUGGGAGGUCCAAAGGUAAUUAAAUGACUUGUAGGCUUGCUGAAUUUCUUUGAAAGGCCCAAAGGCAAUUUAACAUUCACAAAAUAAUCUCUAAAUACUGUAAAGACAAAUCAAAUCCACAGUAGCAUUAGAGUUGAUUAAGCUAAGCAUUGGCAAAUAUUACUUUGAUUUUGCAUGCAAAAUUGGCAAAACCCCCUCUUACAUUAGAAAAACAACAUAAUCCAUGAAACAUUGAUGGCUCAAUACAAAUUUCAUCGAGAAAAAAGUCUCUUUGUUUUGGAGAACAUGAUAGUAAAGAUGUGGAGUUUCGUUCUUCUAAUUGGCCUCCUUUAGUUUUCCUUGAUCAACAACAAUUAGCCAAAAACACAGUUAGAUUAGAUUAUGAAUGAUACUUUCAACUAUGACAAUAUUAAAUACAAAACACUCUAAAUAAAUGGAAAGUAGCAAAUUAAGACCAUUGUGUUAUACUUGUCUCUGAAUUGAAAGAUUUAGAAGAAAAUAAAGAGAAAGAGUUAGAAAAUACUUGAAAACAGAUAAAACUUAUAUGUCAUUUAAAAUAAAAAAAAUUUCUAUUUAAGCCAUUUAAAAUUUUUAAGAUUUUUUAAAUUUUAAAAUGAUAAAGGUAAAACUAUAUUUUGGUACCCAAAAAUGAUAAAACUUUGAUUUAAUUCUUUAGAAAUUAUAAAAAUAUAGGCUAUUAAAAUGGUGAAAUUAUAUUUUUACUAUAUUAAAAAUUACAAUUUAAUUUCACUUGCUAAAAGGAUUUACUGGCUUCGCCCCUAAUAAAAUCUUUGGCAAAAGAUUAAAAUAAAAUUAUACCGUGAAUGGAAAAAGAAACUUAAGAAAACCCAAUCUCACAAAGAAAAUAACUUGUCCAAAAGCUACCAUAAACCGUAAUUCAUGCGAAGGCUUGUUGCUCAUUUUAUUGGUUUCCAUUUUGAUUUUGCAAAAGAAGUUUGAAUUUUGAAGAGAGCAAAAGAAAAAAAUAGUUUAUUAAUUUUUUACGAAUACCGACAUAUUAUAUACAUGAUUAAAAUUCCAGAAUAGAUUAAAAAUGUUGAAUUAAAGAUAAAAUUAAGUAUGAAUUAAGAACCACAAGUGUACUCAUUACUCACCAUCUCUGUUAAAAAUGUUGUUUAGCAACCUGUGUUUGAUUUUCUUCAGCUCAACCACAACAUCUUUCAUAUCUUUUCUUUCUUCUGGUAACUCAGCUGAACAAUUCAAAGCCAAUUCCAUGAUAGAUGAAAUACAAUUUGCUUUAACAACAAUGUACUCAUCCUCUCUUCUUAGUAAAUCAACAUCUGCAAUUUCUAUUGCUCCUUUAGGCAAUGAACUUUCCAUCCAAUGCCUUACAGUCUCUUCUUCAACAAAAACAUUAUCAGUUGGCUUUUUCUUUGUGAAAGUUUCUAUAAGGACGAUCCCAUAACUAUAGACGUCAGAUUUUAUAGAAACAAUUCCUGCUGAUCCAAAUUCUGCAUUUCAAGUAUCAUUAGAACAUCAUUCACCCUCAAUUAUUUCUAAAAUGCUUAUUCAAAUAUAUAUCCGCAUACACAAGAAACAAAAAUAUAAAAUGCAAAUUAGGAAAAUAAUCGUACAAAAACAAAAAAGAAUUCACCUGGUGCCAUAUACCCGAUAGUUGCAAGAGUCAUGGUUUGCUUCAUUACUUCACCUUCUCCCAACAAUUUGGCAACGCCAAAAUCUCCAACAUGUGCAACCAUGUCUUCAUCUAGUAAAAUAUUGCUUGGUUUUAUGUCACAAUGAAUUAUAGGUGUUGGAUGUCCAUUGUGGAGGUGUUCUAUAGCUACCGCAACAUCUAUCAUUAUGUCGACCCUUUGUAUGAUAUCAAGGAAACAAUUUUCAGAAUGUAACCAUUUCUCAAGGUUUCCAUUAGACAUGUAAUCAAGCACCAAGGCUUUGAAGUCAACACUUGAGCAGCAAGUAAUGACCUUCACAAUAUUACGAUGAACUAUAUUAAGCAUAACAUCACAUUCAAUGUCAAAACUCCUAAAUGCUCCCUCUGUUUGCAAAUUGAAAACUUUUAUUGCAACUUCCAUUCCAUCUGAAAGCCUCCCUUUAUAUACAUAUCCAAAACUCCCUGAACCAAGCAUAUUGCUUUCCUCAAAUCCAUUAGUUGCUCGUGAAAGUUCAGCAUGUGAAAUUCUUCUCGGUGUCUUCAAAGACAACAAAUCAUCUUUAACUGGUAGAGCUGUACUCCUUUGGCAUCUUCUAUACAUAAUAGUUAAGACUAUUAGUACUAGGACAAUACCAAUUGUUGGUAAACCAUACCUAAAAGCAUGUAAUAUAAUCAUUUGGGAGUUUUUGUGGAUGUCAUUUUUGCAAGGUGGGACUAGCAAUCUAGGUGGACCACAAAAUGCACAAUUAUUCAUGAAUGAUGUGCUAGAAAAGUUUGAAAAACAUCUUUUGCUGGGAAUUUCCCCUUCAAGUCUAUUGAAAGACACAUUAAAAUACUUUAGAUAUAAAAGCUUUUCCAAAGAUUUGGGAAUGACUCCAGAGAGAUUGUUAUUGCAUAAAUCCAAGAAUUCCAAACUAAUCAACCCAUCAAAUGAUUCAGGGAUAUGACCAUGUAGUAUAUUAUUUGAUAAAUCUAAUGAAACCAAAGUUUGAAGACCCCCAAAUGUGGAUAAGAUAUCGCCCAUGAGAAGAUUCCUUGAUAAAUUUAGUCUCAGUAGACUCCUAAAGUUUCCAACAUCAAUAGCAUGUGAAUUGUGAAGAUGGUUUGAUGAUAAAUCUAUUUCUAAGAUAUCUUUAAGAUUCCACAAAGUUGAGGGUAUUGUAGAACUCAAUUUGUUGGAAUCUAACCAAAGAUAUCUCAAAGCAGAAAUAUUACCCAAACAAGAGGGUAUGGGUCCAUGCAGCUUAUUCAACCCUAAAUACAUCUUGUAUAGUCUCUCCAAACCACAGAGGCUUUCUGGGAUAGGCCCUUCUAAUUUAUUAGAGGAAAGAUCUAGACCUUGCAGAUUCCGCAGUCCUCCUAUUGAUGCUGGAAUGAAUCCACUUAAUUUAUUAUGGUCAAGUUCUAAAACCAAUAAGUUGGUUAAGUUACCUAUUUCCAUAGGAAUAAUGCCUUGAAGCUCACAAUUAUAGGCAUGAAAGGAUUGAAGGGAUUUUGAAAGGUUCCCAAUAUAAGUAGGAAGAACGCCACUCAAUGGAUUUCCUGAAACACCUAUUUUUCUCAAAUUCCUACAAUUCGUCAAAGAAGAAAGAAAGCUCCACUCAUGAUCAGUAGCAGAUCCUGUGAUCAAAUUAUUGUCAGUGAUUUUGAGCACUUCAAGGUGUUUUAAGCUGCCAAGCAUUUUAGGGAUUGGGCCAGAGAAUGAGUUAUCUUCCAAGUCUAGUUUCUUAAGCAUGGAAGCAUUGGAGAUAGAGUAAGGAAUGUUUCCGCUAAGUUUAUUUCCCCACAGUAAAAGAAUCUGAAGCUUUGGAGCAUUGGUAAUGGGUGGUAAAUUACCUGUAAAAUAGCAUCUUUUAGAAAACAUAUUCAUUGAAUACCAAAUUCACAAAAUAUAUAAUACAUUAAAAUUAAAACUUUAAAACUUUAAAUCAAUUAAGAAUAAAAUUUUGGCAUGGAAAAUUGUGAUGAAAUCAAUUAGAAAGUUGAGACAUAAUAAGAAGUUUUGAGUAGUAAUUACUCAUGAUUUCCAUAGACAAAACAUAUAAUACACUGAUAAUUUUUUUAAAAAUAUUGUAAAACCUGAAAUAAAAUAAAAAAUAAAAGUUUGGCAUGAGAAUGUGGCAUCUAAUCAUUCUUAAAAAUAAGACUAACAUUGAAUAAUAAUUAGUUAUGAUUUGAGAAACAAAAAUGUUAAAGAUGUAAACUGGUAUGAUUUUUAUCUAUUGGGUUAAUUAUUUAUUUUUAUUAAAUUAUAUAUAGUGUAAAAUUUAAAGAUUAUUAUUUGCUCAAAAUUUUUGUAUUUUUCGUAUAUUUGAAAUUUAAUCUUUAUAUUUUUUAUUUUCUGUGAUUUAGUCUCUCUACUUUUUGAAUUGAAAAUUUUAAGUUUAUUUAUUAACACUGUUAAAAAGUUUUUGUGUUAGUAUGGCAUUUUGAAAAAUAAAAUAAACUUGAUAUCUAUGUUUUUAAUUAUUCCAAAUACUGUUUUACUAUUCCAAGAUAAAUUAUUUGUGUCUAGACCAAUAUCUUAAGAACUAUUGUUGCAUGUUUAAUUAUUCUAAAGAAUUGUUGAUUGAGUCUUAGUUGAAGUGCACUAUUCUCCUAUUUAUGAAUUGGGGAGUUGAUAAAGUACUAAAUUUUGAUAUAUUUUAAAAAAUUAAAAAUUUAUUAAAAUAUUUUUAUAAAAAUUAAUUGUACCAAAAUAUACAAUUUUAAUAUCAAAUUUUUAAUUUUUUUAAAAAUAUUAGCGAAUAUAUACUUUAUUUCAAGUUACACAAUUUUUACUAGUUUUUAACUUUUUUUUUAAAUUUUUAUCGUCUUUUAUAAUUUCAUAUAUUUUUUUAUAAUUUUUUACAAUAUUUACAAUUUCUAACAAUUUUUAAUAAUUUUAUUAUUUAUUAUAAAUUUAAAAAUUAACAAAUUUUUAUUUUUUUAAAACAAUUAUAUAUUUAUAAUGUAGUUAUUUUUUUAUAAUUUUUUUUGAAAUUUAAAGAUUUUUUUGGUUUUUUCUAGAUGAUGAUGCCAUCAUGAUGUCAUCAUAUGCCACAUGGCAAUUUAUAAUUAGUUGACUAUCUCAAUCUAUUUUUUUAACGUCCAAUGGACUAAAACAAGAACACCUGAUAAUGUUAGAGACUACACUAGGAAUGUUUGAUAAUAUUAGGUACUAAAGUGGGCAAAAAAAAUUAAGGACUAUAUUAAAAAUAUAUCUAUAAUAUAUAUAAAUGCAUGGAUUUUGAGAAACUUUUGAAAUGACAAAUAUAUAGUCUUUGUUUUUUUUUACUAUAUUAUUGAAUUUUUUAUUUUAAAUAUUUUUUUAUUACUUUUAAGAUUUAUCAUAUGUAUGGAUAAAAAUUUUGGUUUUACUAAAAUAUUUGGUUAAAUAAAUUCACUUUAUAAAAAAAUUUAGCAUCCUUAUAAAUAACAAUUUUGAUUCCAUUAAAAAAAUUAUUUAAAAAUAUAUAAUAAAAAUUUAAAAUUUAUAUUGAAUCACUUUAUACUUAAAUUAUUAUUAGAAACUUUAUCAUACACAUAUGUGUAUGAGAACCACGUUUUCAGAACUUAAAUUUGUGUUCUAAAAUAACUUAUGAUAAAUAAUUAAAUGUAUAAUUUGAAAUUAUAUUGAAAUAAAAAUAGAUUAAAUUGUAAGUAAAACAUAUAUAAUUUAAACAUAUGAAUACAUCAAAUUAAAAAUACUAAAUGAAUACAUUUAUUUAUGAUGAUGUUGUUGUCAAUUCAUAAGUUGGUGUCGAGUUAAUUUGUGACAUCAUAAUUUUAAGUGAUAAAUUUAAGGUUUUAUGUAUUGAUGUCGAUUCAAAUAUCACCAUAAUUUUUUUAAAUAAAAAACUAAAGCACCCUCAAAUAAUAUAACUUAUAUUAAAUAUGAAAGGGUAUUUUUGUAAUUUCUCUAACGAGUUGGUGCCCGGUUGACUCAUGACACCAACUCAAUCAAAAGCUUCAAUAAUAAUAUAGAUAUUCACGUUUAAAAAAAGUACUUUAGUUCGAAAUAAUUAUGUAACAAGUAAUUUUAUAAUUGAUGAAUAAUUUUAUAAAAAUAUAUUUAUAUGAUCUAAUAUAUUAUAUUUAUAUUAAUUAUAUAUCAUCUACAAACUUUGAAGAUCAAUUUAUUAAGUAUCAGGAAAAGAAAAAAUGAAAUUGAAUUAACACUAAAUCAAUUUUUAGAUUUUGUACAGAUGAUUUAAUGAUGAUAAAAACAUUAUUAGCACUAUUUUUGAAUUAACAAAAAAUUAGUGAUAUAUUUUAAUUAUAUUUUUUAUUUUUUAUUUUUAAUAAUAUUUUUUUAAUUAUAUGAAGUAAAAUUAUAUUGUAUACUAAAUAUGGUACAUAUACUUUAAUUAAAACUUGAAAAAGUAUUAUAUAAAUUAAUAUAUUUUAAUUAUAUUCAACCAUUUGAAUAACAAAAUUAAAAAAAAACUAAUUAGAAUUAUUUACUUUUUAAAGUUUAAUGGAAAAUAAAAAAUAAAAAAUAAAUCAAUUCAUAUAAAUCUUAUUGUUUAUUAUCAGAUUAAAAUGAUAAAAGUAUAUGACAUACAUAGAAGAAACAAAUUCAACACCAUGUUUUUGGAGUUUGGAAAAAAUUAAAGUGAAAAACCUACCUUCUAAACUGUUGUUAAAUAGAUCUAUUUCUUCGAGCGUAGUUGAAUUAAAAAUACUUGAUGGAAUCUGACCUGCACACAUAGUCGAAAAUUGAAGUGAAAUCAAACUCUUUUGUGAAAAAAAUAUUACCAGAUAAUUCAUUCCAACCCAGGUAAAGCCCUUCAAGCUUGGGAAGAUGUUGACACAUAUCAUUAGGCAAACUACCUGAUAGGCUAUUGUUGGAGAGAUUAAUGGUCUUCAAAGAAGAAAUGUUGAAGAUCGAAGUUGGAAUCUGACCUAUAAGGCCUUUAAUUGCUCUAAUACUAAGCCUUUCCAAACUAAGAAGAUUACCAAUUUCCUUAGGAAUUAGACCUGCAGACAGUCGAAAAUUCAAUGUUUUUCAGCAUAUGUUUUUCAUCAAAUGAAAUAAAAAGUUCUUCCUUUUGUUAUCUAUUACAAAUCAAACUCUUUUAUAAAAAAAAUACUUUAAAUUCAAGAAAUCAAGGAAAUUGAUUACCUUCUAGAUUAUUAAACCCCAAAUAUAAUUCUUGGAGUCGUGUUAGAUUUCCAAUACUUCUUGGAAUGAUCCCCAUAAAUUGAUUAUAGGACAACGACAAAAUAUUAAGGUUGUUGCAUUUGCCCAUGCCAAAUGGAAUGUUACUAGAAAACUCAUUGCUAUCCAAGUAAAGCCCUUCAAGCUUGGGAAGAUGUUGACACAUAUCAUUAGGCAAACUACCUGAUAGGUUAUUGUUGGAGAGAUCAAUGGUCUUCAAAGAAGAAAUGUUGAAGAUCGAAGUUGGAAUCUGACCUGUAAAGCCUUUAAUUGCUUUAAUAUUAAGCAUUUCCAAACUAAGAAGUUUAAAUCAAUUAAGAAUAAAAUUUUGGCAUGGAAAAAUGUGAUGAAAUCAAUUAAAAAGUUGAGACAUAAUAAGAAGUUUUGAGUCGUAAUUAGUCCUUCUGAUUUGUAUAGACAAAACAUAUAAUACACUAAUAAUAAUUAGUUUGGCAUGAGAAUGUGGCAUCUAAUCAAUCUUAAAAAUGAGAUGACACUGAAUAAUAAUUAGUUAUGAUUUGGGAAACAAAAAUGUUAAAGCCAUUGCUUUUAAUGUAAACUAGUAUGAUUUUUAUCUAUUGGGUUAAUUAUUUAUUUUUAUGAAAUUAUAGUGUAAAAUUUAAAGAUUAUUUUUAUCUAUUACAAAUCAAACUCUUUUAUGAAAAAAAUAUUUUAAAUUAAAGAAACAAAGAAAAUUCAAUAUCUUCUAAGUUAUUCCACUCCAAAUAUAAUCUUCAGUGAAGAAAUCUUGAAGAUGGAAGAUGGAACCUUACCAGAUAAUUGAUUGAAUCCCAAGCUCAAGGACUCUAGAUUAGACAUGUUAACAAGUGUUUCAGGGAUUGUGCCUAUAAAGUUAUUAUUUUUCAUUUUCAGCCUUCGAACUCCCUGUAAGUUCCCAAGCCAUGAUGGAAUUUCCCCAUUAAGACUGUUGUAUUUUAAUCGAAGGAUCCUCAAACGAUGCAAUUGGCCCAAUUCUUUAGGGAGAUGGCCAUAGAAAUGGUUUCUACUCAAGUCGAGAGAGAGUAGAAAUGAAAGAUUUCCAAGGUGUGGAGGGAUACUACCCCUAAGAUUCAUGCUUUUAAGUUUGGAAACAAAUUCAACACAAUGUUUUUGGAGUUUGGAAAAAAUUAAAGUGAAAAACAUACCUUCUAAUUUGUUGUCAGAUAGUCCUAUUAUUUCGAGCAUAGUUGAAUUAAAAAUACUUGAUGGAAUCUGACCUGCACAUAUAGUUGAAAAUUGAAGUGAAAAACAUACCUUCUAAACUGUUCAACUAAAAAAACUUUAAGCAUAUUUGUUUUUCCAUCAAAUUAACUAUUUUGCCUUGAAUGAAAUAAAAUGCUCUUACUUUUGUUAUUUAUUACUAAUCAAACUCUUUUCUAAAAAAAAACUUUAAAUUAAGAAACUAAGAAAAUUCGGUACCUUCUAGGUUAUUAAACCCUAAAUAUAACUUCUGGAGUCGUGUUAGAUUUCCAAUACUUCUUGGAAUGAUACCCAUAAAUUGAUUAUAGGACAACGACAAAUUUUUAAGGUUGUUGCAUUUGCCCAUGCCAAAUGGAAUGUUACCAGAUAAUUCAUUCCAACUCAGGUAAAGCCCUUCAAGCUUGGGAAGAUGUUGACACAUAUCAUUAGGCAAACUACCUAGGUUAUUGUUGGAGAGAUCAAUGGUCUUCAAAGAAGAAAUGUUGAAGAUCGAAGUUGGAAUCUGACCUGUAAGGCCUUUAAUUGCUUUAAUAUUAAGCAAUACCAAAUCAAGAAUAUUACCGAUUUCCAAACCAAGAAUUUAUAGAAGAAACAAAUUUAACACAAUGUUUUUUGAGUUUGGAAAAUGUUAAAGUGAAAAACAUACCUUCUAAUUUGUUGUCAGAUAGUCCUAUUAUUUCGAGCAUAGUUGAAUUAAAAAUACUUGAUGGAAUCUGACCUGCACAUAUAGUUGAAAAUUGAAGUGAAAAACAUACCUUCUAAACUGUUCAACUAAAAAAACUUUAAGCAUAUUUGUUUUUCCAUCAAAUUAACUAUUUUGCCUUGAAUGAAAUAAAAUGCUCUUACUUUUGUUAUUUAUUACUAAUCAAACUCUUUUCUAAAAAAAAACUUUAAAUUAAGAAACUAAGAAAAUUCGGUACCUUCUAGGUUAUUCAACCCCAAAUAUAAUUCUUUGAGUUGUGUCAGAUUUCCAAUACUUUUUGGAAUGAUCCCCAUCAAUUGAUUAUAGGACAAUGACAAAAUUUUAAGGUUGCUGCAUUUGCCCAUGCCAAAUGGAAUGUUACCAGAUAAUUCAUUCCGACUCAAGUAAAGCCCUUCAAGCUUGGGAAGAUGUUGACACAUAUCAUUAGGCAAACUACCUGGUAGGCUAUUGCUGGAGAGUUUAAUAAUCUUCAGAGAAGAAAUAUUGAAGAUGGAAGAUGGAACCUGACCAAAUAAUUGAUUGAAUCCCAAGUUCAAGAUCUCUAGAUUAGACAUGUUAACAAGUGUUUCAGGGAUUGUGCCUGUAAAGUUAUUAUUCUUCAUUUCCAGCCUUCGAACUCUCUGUAAGUUCCCAAGCCAUGAUGGAAUUUCCCCAUUCAGACGGUUGUAGCUUAAUUGAAGGAUCCUCAAACGAUGCAAUUGGCCAAAUUCUUUAGGGAGAUGGCCAUAGAAAUGGUUGCUACUCAAGUCGAGAGAGAGUAGAAAUGAAAGAUUUCCAAGGUGUGGAGGGAUAGUACCCCUAAGAUUCAUGCUUGUAAGAUUCAAAGCUAUAACUCUUUUAUGGAGGAUGCCACAAGAAACACCAAUCCAAUUGCAAACAGAGGUUGAGGCCGUCCAAUUGUUUGCCAAGACAUUUUGAGGACCGGCAAUGCGAUCCUUAAACUCGAGAAGUGCAAACUGAUCGGAGUUGAGAUUCCUGACUGUCAUACCCCAGCAAAGUCCGGAACAUGGUAUGAAUAAAGCUAAAAGAAGAUGAAAGCAAGUGUUGUAGUUCAUGAUAGCAAGACGGAAUAAGCCAAGAAAAUAAAAAAAAGUAGGACAAGGGAAGUUGAGUUGAUAAAAUAGUUUGGAUGAUGAAGAAAAGCCCAGAGAGCAUGCUUUAAUAUGUUUUGAAGAAAUUUCAAAAUAAAUUUCAAAAUAAAUUUCAAAAUAAAAAUUUAAAAAGGAAAGCAAAGUUUUGAAGAAAUUUCAAAAUAAAUUUCAAGUCUUCUUCUUUAAAAAAUACGUACAAAGAGCGAAUUUUCAAAAUUUUUCCUAAAUUUUCUUCACAUUACUCCACAUAAUCCAUUAAAAAAACUUAAAAAAUAUAUUUUAUUAAUUACUAUACAUUCUUUUAUUUUCAGAAUAAUAAAUUGUUUAAAAUUUGCUAUUAGUCCCUAUAAUUUAAAAGUUAAAAAAAAUUCAAUCCUCCUACUUUUCUAAUUUAAAAAUUUUAGUUCAAUCAAUUUUAAUUUUAAAAUCUCUGUAUAAAAGGUGUUUUUUUUGUGACCGAUCACACUUAACCAAUAUUUAAAAAUUAAUAAAAAAUAUUUUUUUUUGAAAUUUAAAGUGAUCUAAAAACAUAUUUUUAAGUGCUUUGGACCGUCUAUUGUUGAUUUCCUUAUUAUAUUAAGUGUUUGCAAUCACUCCUAAUAUAUUGUGCUUGAGUUGUGACAAAGCCGAUCAUCAAAUUGCCAUAAUGAUCUAUUGAUGCUGAAAUUGAAGUUUUUGUUAUAUUGAUAGAGCUUGUCCUUCAACGCGUACAACGUGUUUGUUAUUUUUCUCCCUUCAAAUUGUAUGAUCUUAUUCAUUAAAUGAAUUAAUGAAUUUCCCUUUUAAAAAGAUAUAUUUUUAAAAAUUAAAUACUUUAUAAAAUAUUUAAAAAUUUGUAAGCCUUAAAACAAUCAACAAAAUAUUUUUGAAAUUUUAUAAAUAUAUUUUAAAACUAUAGUAACGCUACAAAAUAUAUAUAUUUACUAAUUAUAUGCACCUUUUUUAUUUUUAUUUCCUAACAUAUCAUUAUUUUCAACACUAUCGUAAUCCUGUUUUGAUAAUUCCCUUUCCAUACAUCCUUUUUCUACAUAGAAUUUCAAAAGAAAAUGUGAAUUAAUGUAAACGUGAGAAGACUUAAUUACAUUUAUUAGUUUAUCAAUCAAAACUUAAUUAGAAUCCAUCAAUAUUUCACACAUCAAAAACCCAAACAUAAAAUUCACUUUUAAAUUAUUUGAAGAUACAUUUGUAUUAUAGGAAAUCGAUUAAAUUAGUCUUUUAUUAUUAAAUGUAUUAUUUUAAUCUUUGUAUUAGGUAUGAAUGAUAUCUCCUAAAUUGAAGCCAGAGCUAUUCUUGAAAGACUGAAAUUAGGAUUCAGAUGUGUUGAGAUGGAAAGUGACAACACAAUGUUGAUUGAAACUAUUUGUAACAGGUUGACUACAAUAAGUAGUGCUGCCGAAGUAAGACAGAUUCACGAUUGGUGUUCCAAAAAUUGGGAAGUCAAAUUUAGACAUAUUCAGCGGAAUGCCAAUAAAGUUGUUGAUUGCAUAGCUAAGGCAAAUGGAGGCGUAAUUGAGCAGCUGGUUAUCUUGGAAGAUCCUCUGCAUUAUGUGAGAUGGUAGCUUGAAGAAGAUAUUAGACAGUCACUAGUGACUGAUGAUAAUUUUCAUUUGGACUGAUGAGCGCUUAAUUUUCUAAGCUUAUGUUCAACAAAAAAAAUUUUAACUACGUUUAAAUUGUAAUAGAGUUAACAUUUAGUGUUUAAAAAAUAUCUUAAAAAUUAUUAUUUUUUCCAAUUGCAGUUCAAUUCCACAAAUAUCGACGAUGAAUCCGGACAUAAAAAUUAUAGAAAAAAAACACAUCUAUUAUCAAACCAACAAUCCAUGUCUAAACUUAAAUUAACAAAAUUUGCCACGCAACGCCCAGUACACUAUUAUAUAUAUACUAGAUUUAUUCUAGAUGCACAUGUUUUAUUAUAUUUAAAAUUUAAAAUAUAUGGUUGACUAAGUGUUAGUUGAGUUAGUAUUGCUAUUAUUGUCAGUGUAAGGAAAUGUGAGUUUAAUUGCGCUCAAAUGUGUUUUAUCCUCCAAUUCAAGGGUUAGGAAAAGGUUAUUGAUAAUUAAGUUAUACCAACUUUUAUGAUAUUAAAAAAAGGAUUUAUAAAUAAUAUAAGGAAAAGAAAGAAAGAGAAACAUAUUCAUAUUGAUGGGCUCUUUCAAUAUUAGACUUUUUUUUCUAUCACAAGUAAAAAUAUCAAAGGUGAUAAUAAUUAAAUUAUAAAAUUUAAAUUGAGAAAAUAGGGGAUUGAGUUUAUAAGUUUUAAAGUAUAAAGAAUGAAUAUAUAACUAACAACAUAUUUUAACCACAUAAUAAAAGUAGUUAUGGUAAAAUAAUGACCUGAAUAAUUUUAAACGUCUCAUCCUUGCAAAAAUGAAAUAAUAGAAAAGAAAUAAGUGUUGGGUGUAGUGGCAAUGUACAUCAUACUUCUAAGGGGAGAUUAGGGUUUUAGACAAGGGAAGAAUUUUAAACUUGCUCUUUUCUCUAGAACUCAACGCAAACCUCAAAUUUAUCUUUUUAAAAGAAUUUAAAAAUAUGUAUAUAAAAGGUGAUUUUUUUACCGAUCACACUUAACAAAAUUUUAAAAAAAAAUGAAAUUUAAAGUGAUCUAAAAACAUAUUUUUAAGUGCUUUAGACCAUCCUGUGCUGAUUUCUUUAGUAAUUUGAUUUGUUCAAUAUAGAUUUUGGUAACUUAAAACAAAAUUAAUAAAAAAUUAUUUUUUUAGAUAUCUUUUUAAUGUUUAAUAAUAAGUUAAUUUAUAAAAUAUACUUUCAUUGGACACAGGGCCUCCAAGGCGGUGAACCACUAAUCAAAUUAAUUUUGAGAUACUUAAAUUUGUUUUCAUCAAUUAAGAAAUUAAAAAAAUUGUUGAGACCUCAUGAUUAUGUUUUAUAAUUUCAGGCUUAUCAACUAUUUUGAAAAACAACAAAACGUCUUACACCAAAAACUAAAAAAUAAAAACGUCGACAUUAAAUUUGUUGGCAUGCAAUCAAUUUUAAGAUGGUUUUUGGAGUUAUAUAUCACCUUAGCAUUGACUUACUUUUCUACAGUUUGUCUUCUCCAACAAGUUAAAUAUUUCAAUUUUAACAACAUUGACAGGUCUUUGGGGUAGGGUCGAGCAAAAUUCAAUAAAAACAGAUGAUAUAAGUUGAGUUGGCUCGGCCAAGUCGAGUCGAUUUGUUCAAAUUAUUUAAAUUAGUAAAUUUUAGGGUGCAAUUAGAAUUUUUUGUUUUGAGAUGCUAAUUAGAUUAAAAAAUUUCAGUUGCUAAAACAAAAAAAUUGUAUUUAAAAAGGCAUAAAUUAAAUAAUUAAGUUUUUCGAGUUUCCAUUUAAUCAAAGGUUAAAAGGACUAAAUUGAAGCUUUUUAUUUUUAAGAAAGGCUGAAUGACAAAUUGCCCAAAGCCCAUGGCCCUAGCUAUACAACUAACUUUUCUAUGAUUAGUCCUUGGUUUGCUUUGGGUGAAAUCUUCCAACUAGCCUCAUCCUUGGUUUUACUUUCCAACAAUUAGUGUAUCGCGGGUUUUGUUUUCUUUAAAAAAUAUUUGUGGAUAUUAGGAGAUAAUGAAAAUUAUUUUACUAUGAAAUUUUAAUAAAACUGGAAAAUAAGUAAUUUAUUUUAAGAGAUCACAAUUAAACGUUAGAUUUCCCCUUUUUAAAUUAUAAAUUUUUUUUUGACAAUUGCAUAAUAUUUUGAGCGUUGUAGGAAUGCCAUAAUAUAACCUUCCCUACGCAUAAUCGACUCUUGAGCAUGAUGGAUCCUAGACCUUCUCCUCUAUUCUCGUACCACAAAUUGCUUCAAGUGUGGGUUCGAACAAUCACAAAUUAAACGCAAAACCAAAAAUGAUUUAUUACUUUCAAUAGCAAAGUAAUUCUCUCUCAAUAGAAACCAAUAGAAUUGUAAUUCCUAGAAAAUAAAAUUUAUUUUUUGAAAAUAUAUUCUCACUACUUUCUAGCAGAAUAACAAUAUGUGAAACUUAUGUCUUGUGUUAAUAGCUCUACCAGUACUAUCUAUUUAUAGGGAGAGACACGAGAAUCCUGGUUGAAUUAGUAAAACACGAAUAAUAUUUAUUUCAUAGAAAACAAUAUUCCACCCUAAGUAGAUCAAGUUUGUAUGACGCAUGGAUCAAAGCUCAAUCUAGGAGAAAAAAAACAAAGGAAUUUUCUUUGUAAAGAAAAUUUGAGAUUGUACUAUUUUCAAAGUUAUAAAUAAAAUUAUACGCCAAAUUUUCAAGUCAAUUUUCAACUCCAAUUUUGUAUGCACAAAUUUCUAAUACACUUGGUGGGACAUUCUUUGACUUUUAUCUAUUCUCUCAAAAAGUUAAAGUUCAAAGUUACAUUAAACUCAAAGAAGAUAUUCAUUAGUAAACCACCUCACAAGCCUGCUCAAGCUAAUCCUACAACUCGUUCCACUUCAUCAUCAAACACCAAUAUUCUUGCUUAUCCUUAUGGAAUUAAACAGUCUCAUUUUCUGCAUUUUGGGUACACACUUAGUUUUGUUUGAUGCUAAAACAGUCCCCGAGCACUCCAAAACCUAUAAUUGAACAAAUAAUACUAAUUUAAUCUUACAUAACAUGAUCCCAAAUUGAAAUUGUAUCGAGGUUUUAACCCAUAAGUGACUAAACCUUACCUUCAACCGAUGAACAGUAAUUCCCACACAAACUAAGACUCCAAUUGGAGAUUACGAGCCAUUGAAUCCUCCCCUAAUUGGCAUAAACAAAACACUUCAAAAGAAAGUUAACAAAUGGAGACAAAUCACUUAUCUAAAACUUACCGAACGAUCACAGAAAAACGUGGAGUGACACGAGGCAGAGUGGGAAAAGAAAAAUCAAGAGGAUGAAGGGUGAAAGAGAGCAAAAAUUCGGUAGCAAUGAAGAGAAAAACAGCAAGAAAGUGGAGGGAUUUUAGGGAAAGUAAAAAAAAAGAUGAAUAGAAUAUUUGAUAACUACCCAAUCCCUUAUUUCUCUCUAUCAAACUCCCCACUAAAUCCACUACUCGAAUUUUUAGUCCAUCUCAAACUCUCCUGGACGCACGAGCAAAAAAUAAUGACCAUGCCAAAAUUUAAACAAAAGACCUCCUUCACACCAACACUCCACUUAUCCACCAGACCAAUAGGCUCAUUCUUUUAAUUAUUUUCCAACUUUUACUUAAAAGCCUACUGACCAAAGAUAGGGCUUAUUCAUAAAAAUACCAAAUUUUGCCCAAGACCUGGCUUGAACUUGGGACCUCUCAAACACACCCAGAACACAUAACCACUAAAGCAGACAGAAAUUUUGUGUCACACAUUCACAAUACCCAAAAUUAAAAUUUUAGGGCGUUACAAAAACACAUUAAACAAUAUCGCAUAAAACAAUCACAGUCAGAUAACAAUUCAGAAUGUCGAUUUUACAAUUUAACCACCAAUAGUAUCAUAGUAUUCACAGUUGUAAUUUCAGAAUAUCAAAUUUCCACAUCAUUCACAAUAUUCACACAUAUAUAAAUAUAUCAUAAUAGAAUUCUAGAUUUGUAUGCACAUGAUUUAGAAGAUGCCAUACAAUUUUGGGUUUUAACAGAAUAAAUCCUACCCCACAUUACAUACCAUAAUGGGAGUUCCCCUAAACUCCCUUCUCCAACACACUAGGUUGUGGAUAAACCACUAUUGGUUCACAAAUAAUAACUGUCAUUUGGCUGUGGACACAUAGCAAGUCCCCGCAAUUGGAUUCUAGAUUUGGUUGUGGAUUCACAGCAAAAAAAUCCUACAAAUGAAGCCUGCUUUUGCCUGUAGAUUAUACAACAUAUACCCGCAGUUGGAAUCUGUCUUUGGCUGUGGAUGCAGUGUAACACCUCAAACUCGACCUAGACGUUAUGGCUAAAUCUUAAUGAUUUACUUUAACUCGCUAGAAAGCCCACGAAUUUACUUUAAAAUCAUGUGGUUAAACUAGUGUUCACUUUGAUAAAUCGUUUUCCAGUUUUAGAGAAAAUUCUUGUUAAAACUGUUACUUUAUUACAAUAAAACAUUGAAGUAAUUGUAUCAUUUUGUAGUGGAAUCUACUAAGCUAUAAGGUUUUGAAAAUCGUGAUUUAGUUUGAAACAAAUCAUUUUGCAAAUAGAAAUUUAAUACUACUUAAUUUGGAAAAGCACGCUAAAACGAAAGCAAAGUCCAAAAUAAUUUACGGUUUGAAAUUCUAAAAAGCCCAAAUUAGUCAUAAAGUCUAUUUAAACCAAUUUAUCGAAAGUGUAACACCCUAAACCCGGCCUGUAUGUUAUGGCCAAAUCUAGAUGUGUUACGAAAAAAAGUUUAUAAAACGACUUCCUUGUUAUUGGCAAAUCAUCGUAGCCAUUAUUACUUAGUAUAUCUGAUUUGUUUGGAAAACUUAUUGAUAUACUUAUUUGAUUUAAAAUCGUUGCUCACUUACGCCUUUUUAUUAAACCAAAUAUUUUGCAGCGGAGUUUCUUUAAAACAUCAUAUUUUGGAAAAUCAAAUUGUUUCUUGAAAAUCGUUAUUUUAGAAAAGUUGUCAUUUUCAGAAAAAUUAUUUUAUCAGUUGUUAUGCUGAGAAAACAAAAUAAAAUCCAAAACCAAAAAUAGUCCCAAAAAGUCUAGAGAGUCCCAAAAUGACAAUACUCUUAAAACUAGACAAGUUUAAACUAAUUUUAAAAGAAUGAAAUUUUACAGAAAUGUGGACACCACUGAGCUUCCGUCGCACCGACCCACCUAAAUCUGAGGGUUACUUGAACAGAAUAAACAAACAGAGAGUGAGUUUUGAAACUUAGUGUCUAACGCGUAUAUAAACAAAAAUUCAGAAUCAAUCUCAUGCAGAACAGAUACAAGUGUAAACCUUUUAUAAAAUUAGAAUUAUACAGAUACAAAUAUGCAACAUCCUACCCUCAUCCUCUACACACCAACUCCGACCAUUCUAUCACACCACGUGGGGUAUAAAAUACCCACCCAGCCCUACACACCGUAUAGUAUUUAUAUGACACUUUUUGGAAUAAUCGCAGCAGAGUUGCCAGUAUAUAGGCGAGAUAUCACCUCACACAGAACACUUCCUCCUCAUAAUACAAAUCCCGCCCCAUAGCCAGAUACAGACAAAAUAUCAUGUAAAAUAAAUUAACAGAUACUAGAGUUAACAUAUCACGCAUGAGCGUAUAAUAGAUAUUACACAUGCUUAUGCAUAACAAAAUAGAUCAUACAUAUUGUAUUCCAUAAUACUCAUAUAAAUGUUAUUUACGUCAAUCUCAAUCUAAUAGAGUAGCUGAUUUCAUGCUUUAACUCUUAUACCACACAUACAGACCCUAUAGAAGGCCCACAGUUGAUCGAGACAACAUGUAUGUCCCUAGGGAAAAAAUUUGUAAUUUGGGCCCAUAUGCAUGUAUGAGCCCACACACCCAAAAUGGCCUUGCCCAUGUGGCUCACCUACCUAGCACUCAGCCCAUACGGUCCAAAAUGGCCUAGGUCGUGUGUCACACACAGCCGCAUGUUGCACACAGCCUACCACAUAGCGAGUCACAAAACCGUUUGGAGUUGACAAGCCUAAUUUUUGGCUUUCGUCAAUCGUCAUUUUCUUACGUUUUCAUUACACACUUGGUUUGAUUCUGACCCAAAAGCAACCCUAAGUCCACCGAAACCUAAAAAUAGCAUUCCAAUGCCCAAUUUCAGUGAACAUUUACAAAACUUAAACAAAAACUAUCCAAAAACAUAGCCUCACAAUAGCAUCCAAUGCACUCGCACACUUACCGUCAACGAAUAGGAAACACCCAACACUCAAUUCGUUGGCGGAGCACCAAUUAUGAUAAUGCAAAAAUUUUAUGGAUUCUCAACACUAUCGAUCCAAAUGUAAGAUUGAUGCUUUCCAAUUAUGAUAAUGCAAAAAUUUUAUGGGAUGGUUUACAUGAAUUUUUGUUGUUGUCAACGAUCAAUGUAUUCAAUAAUUAAAAGAAAAUAUUAGUCGUUGUUAGAAAACCAAUACUAUGAGUGUUGUAGUUUAUUUCAGUAAAUUAAAGGUUUUGUGGGAUGAACUAGACAAUCAUGAACAAUUGAUUUAUUGCAAGUGUGGACAAUGUUUAUGUAACUUAGGGAAGACGGAUGAACAAUGUCGUGAGCAUGAUCGACUUCAUCAAUUACUUCUUGCUCUCUAUUCUAAUUGUUAUGCUCAAACUAGGUUUACAUUGUUUUACCAAGAUCCUUUGCCUUCCUUAAAUCAGGCAUUCCAACAAAUUACUUAGGAGGAACAUGUACGUGGAAUUACACUGAUUAAGGAAGAGAAGUCUGAUAUUUUAGGCUUUGCUUUGCAUACAGAAGGUCAUAACAAAGGCCGAGCUAAUUGUAUUGAUAAGUCAACCUUGUUGUGCACUCAUUGCUAUCGCAAAAGGCAUGAGAUGGCUACCUAUUUUGAAUUACAUAGCCACUUGGAUUGGCGGCUUAAGAAGUAUGGGAAGCCAGAGAAGAAAAGUGAUGAUCGUGGUGGUAAGACAAGUGCACAUCUUCCACGUAAGUAUUUUAUUUCAAAGGAUCACAAUUAAACAUUAGAUUUCUCAUUUUUAAAUUUUUUUUAUUUUUUUAACAACUACGUAAUUAACGAGUACCAAUUUUGGGUGUUGUAGGGGUUCUAUAACUUUCCCUAUAUGUAAUCGACUCUUGCACCCUCUUUUUUUCUCUAGAAUUCAAUGCAAACCUUAAAUUUAUCUUUUUAAAAGAAUUUUAAAAUCUCUUUAUAAAAGACGAUUUUUUUAGGUGACCAAUCACAGUUAAGAAAAACAAAUCGGUGGCAACUCCUUUCUAAUAAAUGUAAAAAACUUUUUAAACAAAAUAAGGUUGAAAUAAUCUAGUUGUCGUUAUACUUUGAUAAAAUUUUAGAUUUAGUCCUUAUACUUAAAAGGUUAAAAAUUAAGUCUUGUUUUUAUUUAAAAAUCUUAGUCCUAUCGUUAAUAUUGUUUUUUUUUUGUCAAAAUUUGUCAAGUUGACAUAUUAAUUAGGUUUCUCUUAUAUAUCGUGGUAUAUGACUAACACAAAAUAAACAAGUUGACAAAUUCUACAAAAAAUAUCAAAGAUGAUAAUAGUUUAAUUAAAAUUUUUAAAUUAAAAAAGUAAGGGAUUAAAUUUAUAACUUUUAAAGUAUAAUGAAUGAAAUUAUUGAAAUACAAGAACUAACAACAUAUUUUAAAAAUAUUACUAGUAAAUUAUAUAUCUACAACAAGAAUUGUAACCUCUUAUAUUAUAUUCUUGUAUUUAUUUUUGCAUCUUUCAUAAUAUGAUUUAUUAAUUUUAAUAUUUUUAUAGAAUAAUAUGCUUUAAAUAGUUUUUUGUAUCAUUUAUAAAAAUUAUAAUAAACUUACAAAAUAAUUUAAUGAUAUUUAAUUAUUAAUCGAAAAAAAUGAUAUCAUAUAUAUUAUGUAUAUAUUAAGAUUCCAAAUCAUUAAUUAUAUAUCUACGCAUUAUAAUAAAUUCAUCUUUCAAAAUUUUCCUUAUAAUUAAAGCAUAAAUUAUAUUUAUAAUAAUAUAAAUAUAUUCUAUCAUAAAUAUUCUUUCAAAUAUUUUUUAAUGUUUAAUAAUAAGUUAAUUUAUAAAAUAUUCUUUCAGUAAAUUAACGUGAUGAGAUCGUUAGGUGCUUGGAUUUGGUGAAGGGGGAUGAAGAGAAAAGGGAUGGAAGUGAAUAAAAAUGUUGAGAAAUGGAAAGGGUUAGCGAGGGAAGCCGCCAUGAAAGGUGGUUCAAUGGAUAUGAACCUUCAAGCUUUUGUGGAUGAUGUUACUCAAGGUUGUUGCAAGUAAAUUUAAAAAUGUUUUUAAAUUAUUUUUUUGUUAAAAAAACAUUUUUUACUUUUUUAUGUGGCAUGCCACAUUAUCAUACUAUCAUGUGACAAUUUCUGGUGAUUUCUGUCCGCAACAUUAGUCAAAUCAACUGUUAAAUCGUUCAACUCACAGUUUUUGUUAAAUGAAGAGGUUAAUUGAUUUUUUUUUGGAAUCAUUGAGUACUCAAUUGGUGCACUUUUUUCAUAAAGGCUAAAUUAAUUUUUUAAUUUGUUAUUGUUGAAGGCUAUAGCAAUAAAAAAAAUUGAGGUAAAAAAAUAUUAGAGCUAAAUUUGUCAUUAUGCCUAAAAUGUAAAACCAAAUUUUUUUGAAAAUGAAAAAAAAUGGAAAAUCGCAAAUUCCGUCGCAUAUUUUUGCUUAAAAUUAUAGUUUUGGUCACCAAUCUUUUGAAGUAAAUAUAGGUCACCAAUAUUAUCAAUUUGUUACUUUGUAAUAACUCACCUUAAGUUAUACCCCGACGCACGAAAGGAUUAAAUGACAUUGGGAUACCAUCAAACUUGUAUCUUAAAUACACAUUUACCCCUAAUUUUAUCACAUUCUUCUUAAUUGGUAUUUAUGGUUUAGAAAAUUUUACAAAUAUAUUAUUUUUUAAGAAAUUAUAAGAAGAUUACAAAAAUUCCAAAAUAAUAUAAAAAAGCUAAGGAAAACCUAGAAAUUCAAAAAAAAAAACGUGGACAUUGAAUUUGCUGUUUCACAUUAAAUUUUUGGAGAAGUAGAAUUUUCUAACUUAUUUUCCAUCAACUUCACUUCAAUUUUCAAUCACAAUCUAUUGCAUUCAAGAGCACCACAUCUUUUGGGAUGAAACAAACCUCUCAAUUUUAAGAUAAACGGAAUCUAUUGCAUUCAAGAGCACCACGUCUUUUUGGAUGAAACAAAGCUCUCAAUUUUAGGAUAAACGGGUCUUUAGGGUUAUAAAUUGAGGUCCUUUUCCACAAUUGCGGGUGAUUCGUUGAUAAUAACCUCAACAUUUCUGUAUCACAUUUAAUUCAAUUCCACAUUCAAUUUUUAGUUUUUAGAGAGAUGAUUGGGUUACAACAAUGGUUUGAAGUGAAGAUAUUUCAAAACAAGAUGAAUACUCUACCAAUAGUCAUAAUUUAAAAUGCAGGUUAUGUUUCAUUUCAGCUAAGUUAAAUGUUAAGAUUGAGGUUAAACCUUUUAGAGGUUGCUCGCAAAAGGAUCAAACCUUUAUAAAAUUGUUUAAAUGAAGGUCAAACCUCUUAAAAUAGACAAAUAAGGGCCUAACCUUUUAAAAGGUGUUCAAAUAAGGGUUUCUCAAAUUUUGUAUAUCAGGUUAUGUAUUUUACUCUAAACACAUCGACAUUUACCUAUUUUUUCUAUAAAUUGGGUUGAAGUGCAUGAAAAAACCUUAUUUAAGCACUUCUGUAAAGGUUAAACUCUUAUUUGACUAUUUUGAAAGGUUUGAUCCUUAUAUAAGCAACCUCUAAAAGAUUGAGUACUAAUUUGACAAGAUUGAGAAAUACCUAAAUUUGUUUUCAUGAAUCAAGAAAAUAAAAAAGAAAUGUUGAGAAAUAUUUUAGAGAUUCUUAGCUUUGACAAGUUCCCUCCAUCAUCUUCCUGCCUCCAGUCCCACCUCUUCUCUUAUGCUCCUCCCAGCUUCUUGCUUUUUGUGUGUUGAAAUUUCAAAGGAACAAAAUAUCAACCUACAUCAUAAGGCACGAUUGCCAGAACUUUACUUUCUAGCCUGUCGAUCCGAUCCAAUGAAAGAAGAACAAAGAGUCUCAAGAUCUGUCAACUUUAUUUCAUUUUCAUUUUCUUUGUCAUUUUCUAUGUUUCAUGUCGAAUACAAUGAAAGAACAUAGAAAAAUGUUGCCUAUUUAUUUCCCAAUCAUCAUGAAAUUACUUGCCAUAGACUUAGAAUUUUCUCACCAAUUUUCAAGCAAUCUGACAUGAUUUCUCAAUCACAAUUAAUUGAAUUCAAGAUCUUUUUAGAUGACACAAACAUUUCAAUUUUAACACAAACCAAUAUUUAGGUUGUACUUCAGUGCUUGACAAGCACUUUCACAUUUGUGGGAUAAGAACUCUUAACAUUUUAGGAUCACAUUUAAUUCAAUUGCAUUUAAGACCUCACGAUUUUAUUCUAUAAUUUCAGUCUUAUCAGCCUUUUCGGAAACAAUAAAACGUCGACAUUAAAUUUGUUGUUGAUGCAUUCAAUUUUUUGAGGGGUCUUUGGAGUUAUAUGUGACUUUAGCAUUGACUGACUUUUUUAUAAUUAAUCUUUUAUAAUAUAUCAAUUUUAAUAACAUCGACAUGUUUUUUAGUAGGGUCUAGCAAAACCCAAUUAAAACCGAUGAUAUUGGCUUAGUUGACUCGGUCAAGUCCAUUAGAUUGAUAAAAUCAAUUUUAAAAUCAGUUAUAAUGGAUUAAGGUAAUUAAUUAUCGAGUAAUGAAAUACAUAAUCAAAUCAAUUGAUUUUGUUAGAAACUAAAAGAAAAUGAGAUAAGCUGAAAACUGAUUGCCCUUUAUUAAAAUUAACGAAUCCGCCCUUUACGUAUUAGAUAAUACGAACAUCACAUAUAUAAUAAGAAAAAUUACGUAUGAUUAUUUAUUAUCAUAAAAGGUUAGUUUAAAUUUAAAGUAAUCUAAUAUGUUUAUUGAACUUCAACUAUUAAAUAAAGUAUAAGCUAAAUAAGUAUAAAUAUUCUAGAAACCAUUUCUAACUGAUGAUAGGCUAAUUCGAUUAAUUUAUAAAAACUACAUAGUAGGGUUAUAGUCCUCAAACUACACCUAAUUUAAUAAUAUUUAUAGUUUUUUUUUUAGCCUUAAACAUUUAUAGUUUUUUGUUAAUUUGGUCCUUACUCUUUAAAAUUACAUAAAAAUUGCAAAAAAAAUUAAAAUUAAUUUUUUUUCAUAAUUUUAAUAACAUUUAUAGUUUUUUUUUUGUGUGUGGUUUGGUAACUUAUCAACUCGACUCUCACUUGUAACCAACUUUUCUAACCUUUUUCGUACCCUUAACCUAAGUCCCGUUACAACUUUCUAAAGACCUCUUUAUCAGUGUAUCAUGUCGGUUUGUUUUAUAAUGGUGGAGAUUUGUUUUUUGUAGUGGCACGAUUGCCAGAACUUUACUUUCUAGCCUAUCGAUCCGAUCCAAUGAAAGAAGAACAAAGAGUCUUAAGAUCUGUCAACUUUAUUUCAUUUUCAUUUUCUUUGUCAUUUUCUAUGUUUCUUGUCAAAUACAAUGAAAAAAGAACAUAGAAAAAUGUUGCAUAUUUAUUUCCCAUUCAUCACUCUAACAGGCCCAAUUAGCCCAGGCCCAAACAUUAAUAAAAUGUCUAGAUUACAAAAUAAUCAACUAAAAAUUAAAAGCUCAAAAAAUAAAAUAAAACCCAUUAUAUUAACCCAAAACCCCAGCCCAAUUACAUUGAAACCCAAAAAAAAAAUAGUUUUCAGAAACCCCUAGGGUUUCAGAAGCCCCUCAAUGUUAUUUUGUAUAUCUAUUUAUCUUUUUAAAUUUUCGAUAUUGUCUUGUUUUGUUUUUGUAUUAUUGUUGUUACCAUCAUUAUUCAUUAUUAUUAUUGUUGAUUUUAUUGUUCUUUGAUUAAUGUUAAUGUUAGAGUAAUAGAUGUUAUGUGAUCAUUGUUAUUAUAUGUUAUAAUUUGUUUACACUCGUAUUGUAGUCAUUUGUCAGCUUAAUAUUUUGAGUAAUAUUUUAAAUAUUACAUUAAUUUCGACCCAAAUGCAUAAUUUUUUAAUAAGUAAUAUUUUAUAUUUUGAAAUUUGAGAGAUCAUUCCCUAACUUACGGGGUCUCAAUUUUUUCGAUAAAUCUGAAUAUACUAACUAUUUUCAAAAAAUAUGUUUUAAAAUUAUCUCGGGAAUUUAAAAAGGAGCGUGUUCUAACUUACUGAAUAUGAUCUUUUUUUUAAAAUCGAGAUAAUCAAAUAACUUUCAAAUAAAUAAAUUUUCAAUGUUUAUUCUCAUAUCAGGAUUUAAAAUAUUAUAUCCUAACUCACGGGAUACAAUUCUUUUUCUCGAUUAACAUGAAAUAUGCCCGUUUUAAUUUUAUUUUUUAAGUGAUUUUAACAAAAGGAUUGUAUUUUAAAUCUCUUCAAAAUUUUCAAUUUUUCGACAUUGAGACAUUAACUAAUCAAUUAGGUACCAAUUUUGGGCGUUACGAGGGUGCUAACCCUUCCUCAUACGUAACCGACUCCCGAACCUAUUUUUCUGAAUAUUGAAGGCCAAAAUUGUUUUAAUAAAUUAAACCCUUAAGACGUGACCCCAUCACACCUCAUAAAAAUUAUCGGUGGCGACUCUCGUUUGCGUUUUUGUUUUCGUUUUCAAAAUAAAAGUCGACCCCUUGUUUUAAAAAAGGUGGUUCGAUAGCUUGGCGACUCCGUUGGGGAAAAAAAUAAGAGAGUCAAGCCACGAGUUGAUUAUUUCUUAUUUUUUGUCAGAAAUUGUGAAUUCGAUUUAAAUUUACGAUCUUUUCAUUGCAUUUUAUGGUCUGCAUCAUUUUGAUAUGCUUGCUUUACUGGUUCGAGUCUUUUAAUCUCCGCAUAUUGCAUUGCAUAACCGUUCGGUUAUACCCUUUUAAGUGGGAGUGAGAAACUAUUCAUUUGUGAGAUUUUUACCUCCGUAUAGGAUAGUGGAUUACUUUCGGGAUACAUCCGUACCUAUGUCUUCGUGAGAUUUUCAUCUCCGUAUAGUUAUAGGGAAAUGUAUUCCCCUGAACUGAACUCAGUCCGUAUGAGCCUAUAAUAGGUAAGGAUUGAGGAAUCUGCUGGUUCAGGUACCCUUUCUUUAGAACUAAACUGCAUGUAGUGAGCCCUAAGAGCAUACCGUAGGUAGAACCACUCCAAACCCCUAGUGGUCACCCAAAUAGGUGCUCUAUUUAUUUUUGCUUGCUUAUUUUUGCAUUGUACUAACCUAUUUUUUUGUUAUGAUUGCAUUGCAUUUUCAUCAUAAAAAAGAUGUGUUGAUUCACGUUCAAUUGCUAAAUAGAGAGCUUGUCAUGGAAAACGGAUUUCUUGAUAAAGUGGAAGACAAUGUGGUUAUCCGGAUAUGGUCCAAGAAAAUUUGACGAAAGAAGGGUGAUAGUCUAAUGGAGGACUACACGACCUUGCUUUAUUGCCCGAGGAUUCAAGUUGACAAAGAUUAUUUGAGAGUCCUCAAUGUCCCGACCUUUUUCAAGAAGCUAACGAGUGUCACGAGGAUGAGUGAGUAAUGAGUUGCGGCCCGGAUCAAGCAAAAAAGAGAUAGAGGAGACACCCUUUUUGAAGAGUUCGCGAGAUUUAUAUUAAUAUCAAAAUGAAGAAAAAGAUCAAUGUCUUCGCCUGGAGUAUGAAAGCAAAGCUGUAUAUAUAUCCGCUUUAUGUAAAUAAAUUUGUUUUCUAGUAAAGUUUUUCUAAUAGAAUUGAAUCAGAAUCAAUGUCUUUUUUUGCAUUCAUUCCAUUCAUCUGCAUUGCAUUUCAUUGCAUCCAAAAUUUCACAAAAGGACCCUAAUUAAUUGAAAUUGUUAUAGUUACUCUGAAAACUAAUAAAAAUCUACCAAUUAAAUAUUCCUACGGUACCCGUCGCAAAACCAAAGUAAUGGAUCAAAUAUUAGAAAGAUUAGAACAAAUUCUGAAAGACAAGCAUAAUCGUUUUUGCUUAGGGUACAAGCCAGAUACAAGACAAAGAAGGAAGGAGUUAGAGAAGAAAUAGGAAAGAAUGACAGCAUAUUUGAGCGAGGAUGAGGUCAAAUGGGAGCCUAUGAACUUUCCCUACAUAUCCAAAACUUUUGUAUCGGGAGGGAUUAUUCAUCCCGAGCGAAGAAUGCCAAGAGAAGAAAAUAUUGAAGAAAUGUUGGGAAACGUUCACAUCAAUGCCAUAUACGAAGAAGUAGUUGAAGGAUGGACCUUGUUAGAUAUCCGACCUUAUGAACCUGGGAGUGUGCUAAACAAUUGGACUACAGAAGAAAUUCCUGUAGUGUUUAGACCUUACUCAGAGUAAUAUUCAAAACACACUUGUUGCUUUUAGCCUAGAAGUGAUAAGAAUCCCUCUGUGAAAUAGGCUCAUGUAUAAACAUCAUUAUUUUAAUAAAGUAAAUCUUUGCAUUCAUUUUGAGCAAAUAUUCUUUUAUUCUUUCCAUACGAGUAAUUAUUUUAGAUUUUUCAUUAUUUUAGGAUUUUCUUCCAAAAAUCAUUCUUUUAUUACAUUCAUAAUCAUACUGUACAAAUAAUUAUUCUUAAAUUCAUUCAUUCUUUGUAUAUUCUUUUGUACCUAUAAUAGGUCCCUAGAUAUCAACGACAUGAGUGACGCUGCUACAGACUUAGAAUUUCCUUUUAAACAAGACAUGUGUUUAGAGGGAUCCCAUGACUUUGAAGAUGACGUAGACUGUGGCUUAUCUCCGGACUUGUUAAGGAUGGUAAAACAAGAGGAGAAGCAAAUCCUACUUCACAAUGAAUCAAUGGAAAUUGUGAGCUUAGAAGGGGAAAAUAGGUGAAGAUUGGGACUGACAUUGCCACAAAUACGAAGUAAGACCUCAUUGAGUUACUCUAAGAAUUCAAAGAUAUUUUUGCAUGGUCAUACUAGGAUACGCUCGGGUUAAGUACUGACAUUGUAGUACACUGCCUUCCUAUAAAAGAAGAUUGCUAGCCAGUUCAGCAGAAACUCCAGAGGAUGAGGCCUGAUAUUGUGCUAAAAAUAAAAGAAGUCAAAAAGUAAUUUGAUGUUGGGUUCUUACAAGUGGUCAAAUAUUCAGAAUGGGUAGCCAACAUCGUCUCAGUUCCUAAAAAAAAUGGGAAAGUACGAAUGUGCAUGGAUUACAGAGACUUGAACAAGGCCAGUCGAAAAGACAAUUCCCUAUUGCCUCACGUUGACACUUUGGUGGAUAAUACAGUAGGCUACUCACUUUUUUCCUUCAUGGAUGGCUUCUCUGGAUACAAUCAGAUAAAGAUGCAUCCAAAAACAUGGGAAAGAUUACAUUCGUGACCCUGUAGGAAACGUUUUACUAUAAAGUGAUGACAUUCAGAUUAAAGAAUAUGGGAGCGACGUAUCAAAGGGUGAUGGUAACCUUGUUUCAUGACAUGAUUUACAAGGAAAUCGAGGUUUAUAUUGACGAUAUGAUUGCAAAAUCUAGAACAGAAGAGGAACAUGUGCAGGUCCUGAGAAAAUUAUUCUUAAGACUGAGAAAGUUCUAGCUCAAGCUUUCCAACGAAAUGCACUUUCGGAGCUAGGUCAGGAAAGCUAUUAGGCUUCAUAGUCAGUGAAAAAGGAAUCGAGAUCAACCCAGACAAAGUCAAGGUAAUAAGAGAUUUACCUCCACUAUGCACUCAGAAGAAAGUUCGAGGUUUCCUAGGAAGACUAAAUUACAUUGCUCGGUUUAUUUCACAACUAACCGAAAAAUGUGACCCCAUAUUUCAUCUUUUAAAGAAACAUAAUCCAGAUGUAUAGGAUGAAGAAUGUCAGGAAGUUUUUGAUAGGAUAAAGCAGUACCUAUCAAAUACUCUAGUGCUGUUACCACCUAGCCCAGAUAGGCCACUGAUAUUGUAUUUAACAGUGUUUGAUAAUUUUAUGGGAUGCAUGCUAGGCCAACAUGAUGAGACAGGAAGGAAAGAAAGGGUUAUAUACUAUCUCAGUAAGAAAUUCACUGAUUAUGAAAUAAGAUACUCGUCUAUUGAGAAAUUAUGUUGUGCCUUGAUCUGGAUAACUCGGAGGCUAAGGCGGUACAUGUUGUACCAUACGACUUGACUAAUUUCAAAGUUAGACCCUUUAAAGUAUAUGAUGGAGUCAACUACUUUGAAUGGGAGGAUGGCCAGAUGGCAGAUUUUACUUUUUGAAUUUGACAUACUUUAUGUGAGCCAGAAGGCUAUAAAAUGGAGUGCAAUAGCGGAUUUUCUAGCUAGCAGAGCCUUGGAGGAUUAUGAGCCUUUAAAUUUUGAUUUUUUGAACGAGGACUUAAUGUAUGUGGCAACCACUAAAGAAAAUGCUCAAGUGGAUCGCAUUUGGAAGCUAAAAUUUGACGGAGCCUCAAAUGCUAUGGGUAAUAAAAUUGAGGCAGUCUUAGUAUCCCCGAGCAGAGAUCAUUAUCCUAUUGCUGGCAAAUUGGAUUUUGAUUGUACAAACAAUAUAGCAGAAAAUGAAGCGUGUAUUAUGGGCAUCCGUAUAGCCAAAGAAUGUAAAAUCAAAGUGCUAAAGGUAUAUGGGGAUUCUGCAUUGGUGAUAUAUCAGCUCAAAGGAGGAUGAGAGAUAAGAGACCUCAAAUUGAUUAAUUAUCGAAAGUUUAUUCUCGAAUUGAUUGAUGAGUUUGAUGAUAUUACUUUCUCCUAUCUCCCACUAGAUGAAAACCAGAUGGCUGACACGUUGGCUACUCUAGCUUUCAUGAUCAAAGUAAACAAACUAGAAGACAUGAAGCCUAUCCAGAUGAGCAUUUAUGAGACUUUGGCUCAUUGCUACAGUAUCGAGGAAGAGGAAAAGGAUGAUCAUCCUUGGUACCAAGAUAUACUGCAAUAUGUAAAGAAUCACGAGUACCCUGAUCAGGCAACGAAGAAUGAUAAGAGGACAUUGAGAAGACUAGCCACUAACUAUGUCUUACAUGGAGAGAUUUUAUACAAAAAGGGAAAGGAUCGGGUACUACUAAGAUGCUGGAUGCUAUAAAAGCUUAGAAAAUCUUGGAGGAAGUCCAUGAAGGUAUCUGCAAAAUGCAUGCCAACGGUUUCACAAUAGUAAGACAGAUUAUGAGAUUCGGGUACUACUGGUCGACCAUGGAAGGAGAUUGCAUCAAUUAUGCCAAGAAGUGCCAUAAAUGUCAAAUUUAUAGAGACAAAAUACACGCACGUUCUUCACCUCUCAACGUUAUGACUUCUCUAUGGCCUUUCUCUAUGUGGGAUAUGGAUGUCAUCGGGCCAAUAUUGCCAAAGGCUUCUAAUAGGUAUCGUUUCAUCUUCAUGGUCAUUGGUUACUUCACUAAAUAGAUGGAAGCUGAUUCAUAUGCUAAUGUCACGAAGUCAGGAGUCAGCAAGUUCUUGAAAAGGGAGAUCAUAUGUUGAUAUAUAAUGCCUGAAAGAAUCAUAUCUGACAAUACAUUGAAUUCGAAAAAUAGCAAAAUAGCGGAGGUCUGCAAUCAAUUCAAGAUCAAACACCAUAAUUCGUCACCAUAUCGCCCAAAAAUGAACGGAGCAGUGGAGGCGGCCAACUAAAAUACCAAGAAAAUUGUGGGGAAAAUGUCUGAGACUUACAAAGAUUGGCAUGAAAAAUUACCAUUUGCCCUCUUUGUUUAUCGAACAUCAAUCAGGACUUUCGUCGGGGCAACGCCUUUCUCUCUAGUUUAUAAGAUGGAGGCAGUUUUACCCAUUAAAGUUGAAAUCCCUUCUCUCUGGGUAUUGGCUGAGCUAAAGUUGGAUGAAGCUGAAUAGAUCCAACCUCGAUAUGAUCAGUUGAACCUAAUAGAAAGAAAAAGGCUAAAAGUUAUUCACCACGGUCAGAUGUACCAAAAACGAAUGAUGCGAGCCUACAACAAAAAAGUUCAUCCCAAAGAAUUCUAUGAGGGGGACCUAGUGUUGAAAAAGAUUUUUCCUCUACAAAAGAAUUUUAGAGGAAAAUGGAUGCCAAAUUAGGAAAGACCUUAUGUUGUAAUAAAGGCCUUUUCUGGAGGAGCAUUGAUUUUGAGUGAGAUGGAUGGUAAAAAUUUUCCUAAUCUUGUAAACUCAGAUUCAUUCAAGAAAUACUUCACCUAAAGAAGGAGAAGGGACCAAUGUGAAAACCUGCAAAGGGCACUUUGAGUCUUAAAAAAAAGAGACCAAGGUGAAAACCGCAAAUGGUGUCUUAAGUCCUAAAAAAAAGAGGCCAAGGUGAAAACUAGCAAAGGGCGCCUUGAGACCAAAGGGGAUUUGAGUUGAAAACCCGAAAAGAGCGACUCAAAUAUUGAUUAAAAUGGGGCAUGCAGUGAUCUUGCUAUACUUGAAUUAAUAGGAAAGGGGUAUACGACAUCUUGGGGCAUCGACAAAGUACUAUAGAUCUCCUAAACACAUUUCAAACUCAAAAUGGUCUUUAGGAAGUUUGUACAGAGAAAUUCAAGCUGCGAUGUCUAGGGCACCUAGUCUUCAUACUAUUUAUAUUAAAUUUGCUAUUCUUGGAAUACUUUAUUCUUUUCAAGAUACGUGUUCCCAAUCAAUUCCCUUUUUAUUCUUCUUUAUCCUUGAUAAUUUAUUCAUUUCGAGCUAUGCUCCAAAUCAAUUCUAUUCUUAUCCAUUGUUAUUAUCUUUUGCAAGCAUGUUGUAUUGGAAUAAUGAUUAAUAGACUAAUAAUACUUUUACAAAUAAAGUGCUGUAUAUUACUCUAAAAGUUUCUAAAUAAUACAAGAACCUAAAACAGGACUAUUGUUUAGAACGCACCGGGUUUAAAGGUUAGAAAUAUCUGAGAAGGAAGAGUCCAAAUUAAGACUAUCCCUUCGAAUUUUGUUGUCAAAAUAUUGAUUGAACAAAACGACAAGAUAUCGUAUUGGUGAACAAACGAGCAAUGAUCACCAGGUAAUAAAAAGAGGUUAUUUUGGAAAAAAAAUUACAUUGGUACGACACCUUAGGAAUGGUGUAAGAGACCAAAGAGGUUCACAUCUUGUAUUCUUGAAUUGCAAUAGGAGAGGAUUGAGAAAGAGCUAGAUAUUAUACUCCUGAAUUAUAAUGGAAGGGAAAUGGUACAAAUUUUAUGUACCAAAAGUACAGUGGAUUGAACCUUGAAGAUUACAGUAGGGGAAAUCUGAUUAAGUAAAAUAUGAAGUGUUUCUUUGGAGAUACCAGUCGAACAAGAUGGCAUUAUGACGUGUCGGUGAUAGAGCCUUAAUGAAUAAUGAGCAAUAACAACUCAAGCAUUAAGGGAUCAUUUUCAUAACAUUCUGUAUUCAUUCAUACACAUCUAGUUAGGAGAUUUUGAUUCAUUCCGAUCAUAACAUCCAAAUCACUAGACAUAAAUAGGCCCAUGAAAUGGAUUCUACAGGUCAUGUUCCCCAUAGAACAGAUGGGUGAAACCACAAAUCCUAUACCGCUGAAGUUGCAGUGGGAUGGAUUGAAGUCAUUAUGGCGAGUCUUAUCUCCCUGAAGUUGCAAUGGAGCAUAUUAAAGCUAGUAAUCUUAUCUCCCUGAAGUUGCAGUAGAGCGGAUUGAAGUUACAAGUCUUAUCCCCCUAAAGUUACAGUGGAGCAGACUGAAGAUAGUGAAUCUUAUUUCCCUGAAGCUGCAGUGGAACAAAUUGAAGCUAUAAAUUGUAGAUUUUAUCUCUCUAAAGUUGCAAUAGAGAAGAUCAUAUCAAACUUUAUCUCCCUGAAGUUGUAGUGGAACAGGUUGAAAAUACCAAUCUUAUCUCCCUGAAGUUACAGUGGAGUAGACUGAAGAUAGCGAAUCUUAUUUCUCUGAAGUUGCAGUGGAACGGAUUGAAGCUAUAAAUUACAGAUCUUAUCUCUCAGAAGUUGCAGUAAAGCAGAUCAUAGAAAACCUUAUCUCCCUGAACUUGCAGUGGAGUAGGUUGAAGUUAUAAGUCUUAUCUCCCUAAAGUUGCAGUGGAGCAGACUGAAGAUAGCGAAUCUUAUUNNNNNNNNNNNNNNNNNNNNNNNNNNNNNNNNNNNNNNNNNNNNNNNNNNNNNNNNNNNNNNNNNNNNNNNNNNNNNNNNNNNNNNNNNNNNNNNNNNNNNNNNNNNNNNNNNNNNNNNNNNNNNNNNNNNNNNNNNNNNNNNNNNNNNNNNNNNNNNNNNNNNNNNNNNNNNNNNNNNNNNNNNNNNNNNNNNNNNNNNNNNNNNNNNNNNNNNNNNNNNNNNNNNNNNNNNNNNNNNNNNNNNNNNNNNNNNNNNNNNNNNNNNNNNNNNNNNNNNNNNNNNNNNNNNNNNNNNNNNNNNNNNNNNNNNNNNNNNNNNNNNNNNNNNNNNNNNNNNNNNNNNNNNNNNNNNNNNNNNNNNNNNNNNNNNNNNNNNNNNNNNNNNNNNNNNNNNNNNNNNNNNNNNNNNNNNNNNNNNNNNNNNNNNNNNNNNNNNNNNNNNNNNNNNNNNNNNNNNNNNNNNNNNNNNNNNNNNNNNNNNNNNNNNNNNNNNNNNNNNUCAAAGGAACAAAAUAUCACCUACAUCAUAAGGCACGAUCGCCAGAACUUUACUUUCUAGCCUGUCGAUCCGAUCCAAUCCAAUGAAAGAACACAAGGAGUCUUAAGAUCUGUCAACUUUAUUUCAUUUUCAUUUCUUUGUCAUUUUCUAUGUUUCAUGUCGAAUACAAUAAAGAGAACAUAGAAAAAUGUGGCCUAUUUAUUUCCCAAUCAUCAUGAAAUUACUUGCCAUUGACUUAGAUUUUCUCACCAAUUUCAAGCAAUCUGACAUGAUUUCUCAUCACAAUUAAUUGAAUUCAAGAUCUUUUUAGAUGACACAAACAUUUCAUUUUAACACAAACCAAUAUUUCGGUUAUACUUCAGUGCUUGACAAGCACUUUCACAUUUGUGGAUAAGAACUCUUAACAUUUUAGGAUCACAUUUAAUUCAAUUGCAUUUAAGACCUCAUGGUUUUAUUCUAUAAUUUCAGUCUUAUCAGCCUUUUCGGAAACAAUAAAACGUCGACAUUAAAUUUGUUGUUGAUGCAUUCAAUUUUUUGGGUCUUUGGAGUUAUGUGACUUUAGCAUUGACUGACUUUUUUAUAAUUUAAUAAUAAGGUAAAUAUAUUAAUUUUAAUAACAUCGACAUGUUUUUUAGUAGGGUCGAGCAAAACCCAAUUAAAAUCGAUGAUAUUGGCUUAGUUGACUCGGUCAAGUCCAUUAGAUUGAUAAAAUCAUUUUUAAAAUCAGUUAUAAUGGAUAAAGGUAAUUAAUUAUCGAGUAAUGAAAUACAUAAUCAAAUCAAUUGAUUUUGUUAGAAACUAAAAGAAAAAGGGCUAAGCUGAAAAUUGAUUGCCCUUUAUUAAAAUUAACGAAUCUGUCUUUUACGUAUUAGAUAAUAUGAACAUCGCAUAUAUAAUAAGAAAAUUACGUAUGAUUAUUUAUUAUCAUAAAAGGUUAGUUUAAAUUUAAAGUAAUCUAAUAUGUUUAUUGAACUUCAACUAUUAAAUAAAGUAUAAGCUAAAUAAGUAUAAAUAUUCUAGAAACCAUUUCUAACUGAUGAUAGGCUAAUUCGAUUAAUUUAUAAAAACUAGAUAGUAGGGUUAUAGUCCUCAAACUACACCUAAUUUAAUAACAUUUAUAUUUUUUUUAGCCUUAAACAUUUAUAGUUUUGUUAAUUUGGUCCUUACUCUUUAAAAUUACAUAAAAAAUUGCAAAAAAAUUAAAAAUUAAUUUUUAUCAUGAUUUAAUAACAUUUAUAUUUUUUUUUGUGGUUUGGUAACUUAUCAACUUGACUCUUACUUGUAACCAACUUUUCUAACCUUUUUCGUACCCUUAACCUAAGUCCCGUUACAAUUUCUAAAGACCUCUUGAUUGGUGUAUCAUCUCGAUUUGUUUUUAUAGUGGUGGAGAUUUGUUUUUUGUAGUGGGCAUGAUUGCCAGAACUUUACUUUCUAUCCUGUCGAUCCGAUCCAAUGAAAGAAUAACAAAGAGGUCUUAAGAUCUGUCAACUUUAUUUCAUUUUCAUUUUCUUUGUCAUUUUCUAUGUUUCUUGUCACAUACAAUGAAAGAAGAACAUAGAAAAAUGUUGCCUAUUUAUUUCCCAAUCAUCAUUCUAACAGGCCGAAUUAGCCCAGGCCCAAACAUUAAUAAAUGUCCAGAUUACAAAAUAACCAACCAAAAAUUAAAAGCCCAAAUAAUAAAAUAAAACCCAUUACAUUAACCCAAAACUCCAGCCCAAUUACAUUGAAGCCAAAAAAAUAGUUUUUAGAAACCCCUAGGGUUUCUGGAACAAUCCGCGCCGCUCCUCCAUCCGCUUCUCCACGCACGCUGCACCUUUCCACGUGCGCCUCCAGCUGGCAGUGUACCUCCAAUGCAACAAACAAAGCAACAAGCAGCAAAAGAAAUGGAAAAACAACAAAAAAAAAAGAAGGAGCAACAAUGUAUAACAGAUUGAUAACAAAUAAUAGAAAAAAUAGCAGUAAAUAGGAAAAAAAAUUAAAAAAUAAUGAGGGUAAUUUCAUUUUUUUCUCUGUUUUGGCUAUAAAGAGAGCCGGUCAAAAUCUCUAAAGGGGGAUUUAGAAUCAAUCAGAAAACAAGUAUUUUGUACCAACAAUUAGAGAAAAAAAAUACAAAAAUAGGGAUUGAAGGUUUUUUUUUUCUUUCGUUUCGAUUUAUUUAAAAUAGCAUAGAAAAUAAAAAGAAGGCUUACCUUGCGACGCCUUCAGAUCCUCUCGAAAAGGGGCUAAAAGGCCCUAUGUGGCACAGAUUUGACCACUGUUCACGGUGGAACCGCAGCGGAGGCGCAGAGGAUUGGCAUCAAUUUAGGCAGGGUUUGAAACCCUAGCAGAGAAAAAAUUAGGGUUGAUAGAUUUUUUUUAAAAAAAUGGCAAAAUGUUGUUUUUAAAAAAUUUUGUUUUAAAAAAAUUGUUGCUUUUAUAAAGGGUGUAAAACGGCGUCGUUUAGGGCAUGUUUCGAUGGCCCCAAAACGGCGCCUUAUAAGGCAACCCCCGACGACCCGACCUGCUCCAUGGGGGAUCCGCGUGGUUUUUGUUAAAUGGGUUAUGUCUAACCCUGGCCCUUCUACUUUUUAUACUUGUUUUAAUUUGAUCCUCUUUUUAUUUAUUUUUAUUUCUUUAAAUUAAGCCUGAUAAUUUUUUUCCAUUACAUUUUAAUCCUUAAUGAAACGGCGCGUUUUAGAGGAGAAGGGAAAAUUACCCUUCUAGUCCCUUCUUGUUAUUCGAGUGUUCAGAAGGGUCCUUUUUUGUUUAUUUUUUAUUUGCCCCAAAAUUUUGUUUUAAAGCUUAAUUUAGUCCUAUUUUGUUAUUUUAGCUAUUUUAUUAUUAGAUUAAUUAAUUUAAUAUUAUUAUUACUGCUAUUAUUUUACCCCUAUUAGUUAUAUAUUUAUUAUUAUAACUAUAUCAUUAAAUCAAUUAGUUUUUACAUUAUUAUUUCCAUUCUGUUUUUUAUUUACUUACUUAAAUACUUUAAAUGCAUUUAUUUUAUUUCUUAUUUUUUUAUGAAAUUUCAAAACUUUAGACUAUUUUUUUGUUACUAUAACCCUAAUUUCAUUCAUUUUAUAAUAGUUUUUUUUUAAAAUAUUUCUUAGAUUAAUUCCCUCGAUGUUAUUUUGUAUAUUUAUUUAUCUUUUUAAAUUUUCGAUAUUGUCUUAUUGUAUUAUUGUUGUUACUAUCAUUAUUCAUUAUUAUUGUUGAUUUUAUUCUUCUUUGAUUAAUGUUUAUGUUAGAGUAAUAGGUGUUAUGUGAUCAUUGUUAUUAUAUGUUAUAAUUUGUUGACACUCGUAUUGUAGUCAUUCGUCAGCUUAAUAUUUGAGUAACAUUUUAAAUAUUACAUUAAUUUUGACCCAAAUGCAUAAUUUUUUAAUAAGUAAUAUUUCGUAUUGUGGAAUUUGAGAGAUCAUUCCCUAACUUACGGGGUCUCGAUUUUUUUGAUAAAUCUGAAUAUAAGAACUAUUUUAAAAAAAUACGUUUUAAAAUUAUCUCGGGAAUUUAAAAAGAAGCGUGUUCUAACUUACGGAAUAUGAUCUUUUUUAAAAAUCGAGAUAAUCAAAUAUCUUUCAAAUAAAUAAACUUUUCGUGUUUAUUCUCGUUUUAGGAUUUAAGAUAUUGUGUCCUAACUCACGGGACACAAUUCUUUUUCUCGAUUAACGUGAAAUACGCCCUUUUUAAUUUUAUCUUUUUAAGUGAUUUUAACAAAAGGAUUGUAUUUUAAAUCUCUUCAAAAUUUUCAAUUUUUCGACAUUGAGACAUUAACUAAUCAAUUAGGUACCAAUUUUGGGCGUUACAAGGGUGUUAACCCUUCCUUGUACAUAACCGACUCCCGAACCUAUUUUUCUGAAUAUUAUAGGCCAAAAUUGUUUUAAUAAAUUAAACCCUUAAGAGGUGACUCGAUCACAGCUCAUAAAAAUUAUCGGUGGCGACCCUUGUUUUAAAAAAGGUGGUUUCAACAGCUUGGCGACUCCGCUGGGGACAAAAAUAAGAGUCAAGCCGCGAGUUGAUUAUUUCUUAUCUUUUUGUCAGAAAUUGUGAAUUCGAUUUAAAUUUAUGAUCUUUUCAUUGCAUUUUAUGGUCUGCAUCAUUUUUAUAUGCUUGCUUUACUACUUCGAGUCUUUUAAUCUUCGCAUAUUGUAUUGCAUAACCGUUCGGUUAUACCCUUUUAAGCGGGAGUGAGAAAUUAUUCUUUCGUGAGGUUUUCACCUUCGUAUAGGAUAGUGGAUUACUUUCAGGAUACAUCCAUACCUAUGUCUUCGUGAGAUUCUCAUCUCCGUAUAGUCAUAGGGAAAUGUAUUCCCCUGAACUGAACUCAGUCCGUAUGAGCCUAUAAUGGGUGAGGAUUGAGGAAUCUGCUGGUUCAGGUACCCUUUCUUUAGAACUAAACCGCAUGUAGUGAGCCCUAAGAGCAUACCCUAGGUAGAACCACUCCAAACCCCUAGUGGUCACCCAAAUAGGUGCUCUAUUUAUUUUUGCUUGCUUGUUUUUGCCUUGUACUAACCUAUUUGUUAUGGUUAUGAGUGCAUUGCAUUUUUAUCAUAAAAAAGAUGUGUUGAUUCACGUUCAGUUGCUAAAUAGAGAGCUUGUCAUGGAAAACGAAUUUCUUGAUAAAGUGGAAGACAAUGCGGUUGUCCGGAUAUGGUCCAAGAAAAUGUGAAGAAAGAAGGGUGAUAGUCUAAUGGAGGACUACACGACCUUGCUUCGUUGCCUGAUGAUUCAAGUUGACAAAGAUUAUUCGAGAGUCUUCAAUGUCCCGACCUUUUUAAAGAAGCUAACGAGCGUCACGAGGAUGAGCGAGUAAUGAGUUGCGGCCCGGAUCAAGCAAAAAAAAGAUAGAGGAGACACCCUUUUUGAAGAGUUCACGAGAUUUAUCUUAACAUCUAGACGAAGAAAAAGAUCAAUCUCUUUGCCUAGAGUAUGAGGGCAAAGCCGUAUAUAUAUCCGCUUUAUGUAAAUAAAUUUGUUUUCUAGUAAAGUUUUUCUAAUAGAAUUGAAUCAGAAUCAACGUCUCUUUUUGCAUUCAUUCCAUUCAUCUGCAUUGCAUUUCAUUGCAUCUAGAAUUUCACAAAAGGACCCUAAUUAAUCGAAAUUGUUAUAGCUACCUUGAAAAACUAACGAAAAUUUACCAAUUAAAUAUUCCUAUGGUACCCAUUGCAAAACUAAAGUAAUGGAUCAAAUAUUAGAAAGAUUAGAACAAAUGCUGAAGGAUAAACAUAACUGCUUUGGCUUAGGGUACAAGCCAGAUACAAGACAAAGAAGAAAUAGGAAAGGAGAACACGUUUGAGCGGGGAUGAGGUCAAAUGGGAGGGAUUAUUCAUCCCAGGCGAAGAAUGCCAAGAGAAGAAAAUAUUGAAAACAUGUUGGGAAACGUUCACAUCAAUGCCAUAUACGAAGAAGCAAUUGAAGGAGUGACCUUGUUAGAUAUCCGCCCUUAUGAACCUAAGAGUGUGCUAAACAAUUGGACUGCAGAAGAAAUUCUUGUAGUGUUUAGAGCUUACUCAUAGUAAUGUUCAGAACACACUUGUUGCUUUUAGCCUAGAAGUGAUAAGAAUCCCUCUGUGAAAUAGGCUCAUGUAUAAAAAUCAUUAUUUUAAUGAAGUACAUCUUUGCAUUCAUUUUGAGCAAAUAUUCUUUUAUUCUUUUCAUACGAGUAAUUAUUUUGGAUUCUUUAAUUCUUUUGGGAUUUUCUUCCAAAAUCAUUCUUUUAUUACAUCCAUAAUCAUACUGUACAAAUAAUGUAAUAGCCUGAAUUUUCAGUGGUGUCGGAAUGGUGAUUCAAGAUCACUAAGUCUGACAAAUGAGUAGAAAAUAUUAUUAAUUUAGUAAGAAUAAGUAAAUGUGAAGUUAGGAAAAUUUUUGAAAUAGUGAAUAGUGUACUAGGAAUAAAUAUUAAAAUAAUUAAAAUAAAAAAUGAGGUAUCGAGACCUCGAAGAUUUUAAACCAAGCCAUAAGUACUUUUAGAAGUAUUUUUAGAGUGUCAUUGAGUUGGUAUUAAAGUUUCGUUAGAAAAUUUUAACGCUCGGAUAGUUAAUUAACCAAAAAGGACUAAAUUGAAAAUAGUGUAAAAUUUGUUAAAUUGUGAUUAAAUAGCUUAAGUGAUUAAAAAGGAGGGAUUUAAAAGGCAAUUAGGCCCAAAUUAUAUGGGCUGGACGGUUGGGUAAGAAAAAUCAGCAGAAUGUAAGGAGAAAACAGGGGCAAAAUUGGAAACUUAACAAAUUAAACAUAUAAAACAAAGACAAAAGUGAAAAAUCUAGAGAUCUGUUCACAAUUUAUCAGCAAAAAUGCCAUAGGAGGUCUGAAAGAAGCUGGUUUUUCAUAUAUUUGAAUCAUGUAAGUUUAAUUCUUGAUUAUUUCUUCUAAUUUUUGUGAUUUUGAUACUUUUACAAUUAGGUCCAACUAAUUAUUUCAUUAGUUUUUGAUUUCAUGGCUGAUUUUGAAAGUUACCAUUGAUGAGUGUUGGAUUUUUAUGAUGAAUAAACAUGGAAUUAAAGCUUUAAUUUUGUUAUAUGAUGAUUUUAUUAAGUAAUUUUGAUAGAAAUUGAUUUUUGGGACCUAAUUGUGAAAAAGUUUGGAAUUAGGGUUUGGUGUUGCGGUUUUGAAUAUGAAAGGCUAUGUAGUAGUCUAAAAUAGUUGGAAAAGGUGUUAAUUGAGAAAAAUUAGAUCAAUUGAGGGGUUAAUUGAGUAGGACCAAAUUGUAAAAACUGUAAAGUUUGAGGUAAAAGUGUAAUUUCGAAAAUUUAAGGGCAUAAAUUGUGAAGUGAAUUAGAAUAGAAUUAUAUGCUGAUGAAUGAAUAAAUUUGUAUUUUAGAUCGAGAACCCGAAGCAAGCCGAGGAAAAGAAAAAGUAGUUGAUUAGUCCCUGAACUUUUACAAAUUCUGCAAAUCGACCCAGGUAAGUUCAUAUGGCUGAAAUUUAAUGAUUAAAUGUUAAUUUCAUGAAUUAUGUAAUGUAUGAUGAAAUGUAUUUAGUGUUGAAAUGAGAGUAAAAUAAAAAUGCGAAAAUCGAAUAAAUGAUCAAAUUAAGCGGAACGCCGGAUUUGAGUACUUCUGAUCAAGAGACAAAGUGAUAAGUGGUAGCUUUAGCUACACUUAUCUGAUCAAGUGAAAAAGUGAUAAGUGCUACACUUAUCUGAUCAAGAGACAAAGUGAUAAGUGGUAGCUUUAGCUCACUUAUCUGAUCAAGUGAAAAAGUGAUAAGUGCUAUACUUAUCUGAUCAAGUGACAAAGUGAUAAGUGGUAGCUUAGCUACACUUAUCUGAUCAGGGCCAAAUGAUAAGUGAUCAUACGUAAGACCAUAGUUAUACUAUGGCCAAGUGAAAGUGAAGUACUCAAUUUUCCGUAACCGUUCCUUAAUUUUGAUCAAGGAUGGUAAGUGACAAAUAGGCCCAAAGAAAUUAUGGUAAAAGAAUAAGUAGUAGUGAGUUUAUACCAAGGAACUCUCCAAAGAUUGUGGUUGACAAGUAAACUUAGUAAUGGUGUAUAUUGUAUAAGUGUACAAAUGUUUGGUAAGAUUUAUGUUUGUGCCUAUGAACUUACUAAGCUUUUCUAUAAGCUUACAUGUGUGUGUUUAUUGUUUUUCUAGAUUAACGUAUUUAUACAUUCGGAGGAUCGGAUCUACUUCGAGAAUCACACUAUCCAGAUAUACUCCGGUAGAUUUUGUUAAACAACUUUUUGGAUUUAUAUGGCAUGUACAGAGAAUUGAAGUAAAAAGUAAUAGAAUGAAUGACUGAGUAUGCAAAGUAAAUUUGAAUGUGAUGGUUGUGUUAGAUAUUGAAAAAUACAUGUUUUUAGUUUGAAAUGGUUGAUUGGCUGAACUUCGUUAGUAUUCAAGUGAAGUAGUUGAAAUACUGGAAUUGGUUGUGAUUUGAAAUUUGCAGGGAAGGUUAGAUAAAUAUAAAGGGGUUAUAUUGAUUUUUUUUUUAAAUUUCAAUGGAAUAAUUUUUGGACAGCAGCAUUGAUGUAACUUUUAAAAAUCACCAAAAAUAGUGGAAAUAGAAUUAGAAGUUGAAUGAGAUAUGAAAUUAAAUCUGAAUGAGUCUAAUUUCACAUGAAAGAAGUAGAAUAAGAAAAAGAGUUAUAUAUUUUUAGAUAUUUGAAUUUUAGUGAAACAGGGCAAGAAUGUUUUUGAAGUCCCCUGUUCUGACUUUAGAAAUUUAGUAAAAAUUGUACAAAAGGAAUUAUGAAUUAUAAUUUAUAUGUUUAAAUUCCGUAAUGAGUAUAUUUUAAGUAGAAAUAAUUGGAACCACCAUAUGAAGUCUUUGCAAUGAGAUAAUUGAAUUUUAGUGACAAGAGGUCAGGAUAGUCAAUUAGUGAAAUAGGGGAGACUUCAACUAAUAAACUGUAUUAAUUUGCUAAACCAAAAAUUCUGAAAAAUUUAUGGUGAAUAUACAUAUGAGUCUAGUUUGAGGGAAAAUUUACGGAUCUAAAUUUUUAGUUUCGUAUCUUGAGUUAUAAUUAUUUUAGUGACUACUGCGCAUGUGGACAGCUUUGUUGUGAAUGGUGAAAUUAAUUUUUAAAGUAAAUUUUUAUGCCCCGAACUUUUAAGUUCAGUCAAGUAACGCCUUAUGCUCGACUCCGGCAACCGUCUUGGGUAAGGGGUGUUAUAAAUAAUUAUUCUUAAAUUCAUACAUUCUUUGUAUAUUAUUUUGUACCUACAAUAGGUCCCUAGAUAUUAACAACAUGAGUGACGUUGCUACAGACUCAGAAUUUCCUUUUAAACAAGACAUGUGUUUAGAGGGAUCCCAUGGCUUUGAAGAUGACGUAGACUGUGGCUUAUCUCUGAAUUUGUUAAGGAUGGUAAAACAAGAGGAGAAGCAAAUCCUACCUCACAAGGAAUCAAUGGAAAUUGUGAGCUUAGAAGGGGGAAAAGAGGUGAAGAUUGAGACUAACAUUGCCACAAAGACAAAGCAUGACCUCGUUGAGUUACUCCAAGAAUUUAAAGAUGUCUUCGCAUGGUCAUACCAGGAUACUCCCGGGUUAAGUACUGGCAUUGUAGUACACUACCUUCUUAUAAAAGAAGAUUGCAAGCCAGUUUAGCAGAAACUCUGAAGGAUGAGGCCUGAUAUUGUGCUAAAAAUAAAAGAAGAAGUUAAAAAGCAAUUUGAUGUUGGGUUCUUACAAGUGGUUAAAUAUUCAGAAUGAGUAGCCAACAUCGUCUCAGUCUCUAAAAAAGAUGGGAAAGUACGAAUGUGCAUAGAUUACAGAGACAUGAACAAGGCCAGCCAAAAAGAAAAUUUCCCAUUGCCUCACAUUGACACUUUGGUGGAUAAUACAGUAGGCUACUCACUGUUUUCCUUCAUGGACGACUUCUCUGGAUACAACCAGAUAAAGAUGCAUCCCAAAAACAUGGGAAAGACUACAUUCGUGACCCUAUGGGGAAUGUUUUGCUAUAAAAUGAUGUCAUUCGGAUUAAAGAAUGUGGGAGCGACGUAUCAAAGGGAAUGGUAACCUUGUUUCAUGACAUGAUGUACAAGUAAAUCGAGGUUUAUGUUGACGAUAUGAUUGCAAAAUCCAGAACAGAAGAGGAACAUGUGUAGGCCCUAAGAAAAUUAUUCUUAAGACUGAGAAAGUUCCAGCUCAAGCUUUCCAACGAAAUGCACAUUCAGAGCUAGGUUAGGAAAGCUGUUAGGCUUCACAGUUAGUGAAAAAGGAAUCGAGAUCAACCCAGAUAAAGUCAAUGCGAUACGAGAUUUACCUCUACCAUGCACUCAGAAGGAAGCUCGAGGUUUCCUAGGAAGACUGAAUUACAUUGCUCGAUACAUUUCACAACUAACCGAAAAAUGUGACACCAUAUUAAAAUAAAAAUAGAUUAAAUUGUAAGUAAAACAUAAUUUAAACAUAUGAAUACAUCAAAUUAAUAAUACUAAAUGAAUACAGUUAUUUAUGAUGAUGUUGUUGCCAAUUCCUAAUUUGGUGUCUAGUUAAUUUGUGACAUCAUAAAUUUAAGUGAUAAAUUUAAGGUUUUAUGUAUUGAUGUGGAUUCAAAUAUCACCAUAAUUUUUGUAAAUAAAAAACUAAUAAGAUAACUUAUAUUAAGUACGAAAGGGUAUUUUUAUAAUUUCUCUAAUCGAGUUGGUGCCCGGUUGACUCAUGACACUAACUCAAUCAGAAGCUUUAAUAAUAAUAUAGAUAUUCAUGUUAAAAAAACAAAAAAAAAGUACUUUAGUUCCAAAUAAUUAUAUAACAAGUAAAUUUAUAAUUGAUGAAUAAAUUUAUAAAUAAUAUAUUUAUAUGAUCUAAUAUAUUAUAUUUAUAUUAAUUAUAUAUCAUCUACAAACUUUGAAGAUCAAUUUAUUAAGUAAAAAUGAAAUUGUUAACACUAAAUCAAUUUUUAGAUUUUGUAUAGAUGAUUUAGUGAUGAUAAAAACAUUAUUAACACUAUUUUUUAAUUAACAAAAAAUUAGUGAUAUAUUUAAAUUAUAUUUAUCAUUUAUUAUUUUUAAUAAUAUUUUUUAAUUAUAUGAAGUAAAAUUAUAUUGUAUACUAAAUAUGGUACAUAUACUCUAAUUAUAACUUGAAAUUUUAUUAUAUAAAUUAAUAUAAAUUUGAAUAACAAAAUAAAAAAAAACUAAUUAGAAUAAUUUUAAAAAACAUUAUUUAAAAGUAGUUAAAAAUCACGUGCAACAGGUGAGAUCAAUGGUCUUUAGAGAAGAAAUGUUGAAGAUCAAAGUUGGAAUCUGGCCUAUAAGGCCUUUAAUUGCUUUAAUAUUAAGCAGUUCCAAACCAAGAAGAUUACCGAUUUCCUCAGGAAUUUGACCUGCACACAUGGUCGAAAAAUCAAUGUGUCAAACUACCUAUUUUGUUAGCAUAAGUCAAAGAGGUUUUCUUUUCUAUUCUACAUAAUUUGCAGAUGUUAGAUUUUAAUAUUUUUAAGCAUAUUUGUUUUCAUCAAAUUAACUAUUUUGAACUAUUUUGCCUUGAAUGAAAUAAAAUGCUCUUACUUUUGUUAUCUAUUACUAAUCAAACUCUUUUAUAAAAAAAAUACUUUAAACUAAAGAAACCAAGAAAAUUCAAUACCUUCUAGGUUAUUCAACCCCAAAUAUAAUUCUUUGAGUCGUGUCGGAUUUCCAAUACUUCUUGGAAUGAUCCCCAUCAAUUGAUUAUAGGAAAAUGACAAAAUUUUAAGGUUGUUGCAUUUGCUUAUACUUGACGGAAUGUUACCAUAUAAUUCAUUCCGACUCAAGUAAAGCCCUUCAAGCUUGGAAAGAUGUGACACAUAUCAUUAGGCAAGCUACCUGAUAGGCUAUUGUUGGAGAGAUCAAUGGCCUUCAGAGAAGAAAUGUUGAAGAUCGAAGUUGGAAUCUGACCUGUAAGGCCUUUAAUUGCUUUAAUAUUAAGCAGUUCCAAACCAAGAAGAUUACCGAUUUCCUCAAGAAUUUGACCUGCACACAUGGUCGAAAAAUCAAUGUGUCAAACUACCUAUUUUGUUAGCAUAAGUCAAAGAGGUUUUCUUUUCUGUUCUAUAGUAAUUUGGUGAUGUUAGAUUUUAAUAUAAUUCAGCACAUGUUUUUCAUCAAAUGAAAUAAAAAGUUUUUCCUUUUGUUAUCUAUUACAAAUCAAGCUCUUUUAUUAAAAAAAUACUUUAAAUUCAAGAAAUCAAGGAAAUUAAUUACCUUCUAAAUUAUUAAACCCCAAAUAUAAUUCCUGGAGUCGUGUUAGAUUUCCAAUACUUCUUGGAAUGAUCCCCAUAAAUUGAUUAUGGGGCAACAACAAAUUUUUAAGGAUGUUUCAUUUGCCUAUGCUUGACGGAAUGUUACCAGAUAACUCAUUGCUAUGCAAGUGAAGCCCUUCAAGCUCGGGAAGAUGUUGACACAUAUCAUUAGGCAAACUACCUAAUAGGCUAUUCCUGGAGAGAGCAAUAGUCUUGAGAGAAAAAUGUUGAAGAUCGAAGUCGGAAUCUGAUCUGUAAGGCCUUUAAUUGCUUGAAUAUUAAGCAUUUCCAAACUAAAAAGAUUACCGAUUUCUUCAGGAAUUUGACCUGCAGACAUAGUCGAAACAUCAAGGUGUUAAAUUUCCUAUUUUGUUAGUGUAAAUCAAAGAGGCUUUUUAUUUUUUUUCGUUAUGAAAUAAUAUGGAUAUGUUCGAUUCUAAUCAUAUUUAAGUAUAUAUUAGUUCUUGAAAGAAUGAGUUCUUAUUUUUGGUAUUUAUAUUGCAAAUAUAUAUUUUUUUAAAUUUAAAAGAAGGGAGGGGGCAAAUGUGUUUAAACUAAAGACAUCAAGGAAAAGGCAUACCAAGUAUAAUUGUUUAAGUUGUGUCAAAUUCCCAAUGCUUUUUGGAAUGAUCCCACUAAAUUGAUUAAUAGACAAUUCCAAAAUUUGAAGGUUGCAGCAUUUGUCUAUACUUGAUGGAAUAGAACUUGAUAAUUCAUUUCUACUCAAGUAAAGCUCUUUCAGCUUGGGAAGAUGGACACACAAAUCAUCGGGCAAGCCACCAGAAAGACUAUUAUCACAAAAAUGAAUCCUUUUCAAAGAAGAAAUGUUAAAGAUGGAAGAUGGAACCUGGCCAGAUAAUUGAUUGAAUCCCAAGUUCAAGAUCUCUAGAUUGGACAAGUUGACAAGUGUUUGAGGGAUCGUGCCUGUGAAGUUAUUAUUUCUCAUUUCCAACCUUUGAACUCUGUGCAAGUUCCCAAGCCAUGGUGGAAUUUCCCCAUUAAGACGGUUGUAGCUUAAUCGAAUGAUCCUCAAACGAUGCAAUUGGCCUAAUUCUUUAGCCAGAUGGCCGUAGAAAUUGUUGUUGCUCAAGUCGAUAGAAAAUAGAAAUGAAAGAUUUCCAAGGUGUGGAGGGAUAGUACCCCUAAGAUUCAUGUUUGUAAGAUUAAUCAAAGCUACAACUCUUUCAUGGAUGAUGCCACAAGAAACACCAACCCACUUACAGACAGAGGUAGAGUUCGUCCAAUUGUUUGCCAACACAUUUUGAGGAUCGACAAUGCGAUCUUUAAACUCAAAGAGUGCAAACUGAUCGGAGUUGAGAUUCCGGACUGUCAUAGCCAAGGAAACAAUAGAACAUUGUAUGAAUAAAAGUGAAAGAAGAUGAAAGCAAGUGUUGUAGUUCAUGAUGGCAAGACGAAAUAAGCCAGGAAAAGGGAAGUUGAAUUGAUGAAGAAAUAGCCAGCCAACAUGCUUAAAUAGGCUUCAACCCUUGCACACUUCUCAUACAUAAAGUUCGCUGCCAUUACAACAAGAAAACUCAUAUCUCCAUUCGUACCUAUCCAUACUUUAUUUGACUAACUUUUCCCUAACAAGUGUUCAGUAAGGAGAUAAAUCAGUUUGGAGCUAUUCACCGGCUUCUCCAAUCUUGGUUUCAAACUCCUAACCCAUCAAUUCACUUUAAUUGAAACGAUAUACACGAGUCUUUCGGCUUAUAUUUUUAAUUUAAUUUUUGUUACUUUUCAUAAUAUUUUUUGAGAAAUCCAAAUAUUCCAGUCUGAAAUUUCUUCAUUGCCACGUCUAUCUCCUGGGUAAGUCCGUGGUUAGGCAGCCCACUUUGGGAGCAGGAUUGUAAUUGUAAUUCUAUCCGACUCAUUUUACUAUUUAGAAAUAUAAAAGUAAUAUUAUAUUAUUUUUUAUAUUUUUAUAAAUUUAAUUUUAAUUAUAAUUUUUAAACAAUAAAACGAGUCAUUUGUAUUUGCCUAGUCUAAAUUGAAUCAGGAGUCAAAAAAAUUUUAAUCAUAAUUUACUAUUAUUUUAAUUAAUUAAAAUUUAACCUACUACAACUAGUAGUUGCAGAAAAAAUGUCAUUCCUUUAGAAAAACGAAAAUCCUUUAGAAAAAUGAGAACUUAUGAAGCAUUCAAUAAGAGUCAUUGGAAUAAAUGGUAACGAAAUCAUAAUUCAAUAUAAAGCUAAAAAAUGUACCAAUCUAUAUAAAUAAUGUAAGAUUUGUGAUACCUAAAUUAUUAUAUUUUCCAUAAAUAUAUGAAGAUAUUUUAUUAGGAAAUAAUUUUAUAUAUAAAAUUUUUUAUUUUCUUUUGAUAGAAAUUUAAUUAUGUUAUCUGUAGAAAAAAAUAUUUAUAGAAAUAUUAUUAGUAGAAAAUCAUAAAUUUGUGUGUGGCAAAAAAAAUUCACCACCAAGAAAGGGGCAAAUUAAACAACUUGAAACAAGUCAUUGGUUGUUUAAAAUAUUAGAUAAUAAUUUCAGUGAAGAAUCAUUAAAAUUAUGACAAAAUAACCCUAGAUAUUGUAGUAUUAAAUUGGAAAAUCUCAAUAAUAUUAUUAGAGUAAAACCUAUGAUCUAUCUAAACAAGAUAUAGAAGAUUUUGAUAUACAAAUUAAGGUUAGAAAUCAUGCGGAAAUAAAAAAGAAAAAAAAGCUAGUAUGGUCAUUAAUUAUAAAAGAUUAAAUCAAAAUAUUAUUUUUUUAUAGUUACUUGAAUUAAUCAGGCUAAACAAACAAAAUAUUUUAGUAAAUUUGACUGCAAAUCAGGAUUCUAGCAAAUCAUGAUAACAGAAAAGUCCAAACCUUUAACGGCUUUUAGUGCACCCAAUGGACAUUACCAAUGGAAAGUGAUGUCAUUUCAAUUAUGUGAUGCACCACAAAUCUUCCAAAGACGAAUGGAUUUUAUAUUUAAUAAAUAUAAAAAAAUUCUAUGUAGUCUACAUAGAUGAUAUUUUUUAUAUUUUUAGAUACACUAGAAUUACAUAAGAAACAUUUAAAUAUUAUUUCUUAAGAAUUCAUAAAAUAUAGAAUCAUAUUAAACCCUAAAAAUAUAGAGUUAGAAAAAAGAGAGAGAAUUUUUAUAAUAGUGGAAAUAAAAAAUUGUCCUCAAAAGAUUGAAGAAAAAAAGAACUUCCAACAAUUUCUAAUAUAUUCCUCCCAAAUUUUCAGUUUCAAUUUUAUUACAGAAUUUCUUUGCCGACAAUAAGAAAUUAAGAGCGCUCUUUAAGUUGAAUAUAGUCCGUCAGAUAUGGCUAUCUAUAACAUGGAACCUUUGGUUUUCAAGCUGAAUAGGAGAAUUGAUUCACUUGAUAAGUAUGAAAAAUUGAAACUGCUAAAUUUAAGUGCACUAACUCUGGAUAUCAUCAUUAUUUUUCUGUACAUUAAAGUACCUGUUUGAUAUGCGAUUUCUGCCUCAAACUAUCAACAUCUUUAACAUCCUUUUGCUAUAGUUAGCAUGGGUACUUCCUUUUAGAUUAACAGUUAGGUUUGAACUGUGAAUUAGAUUUCUGUGGCUGCUGGGAUUGAAGAAGUUAGUAUGCGAAUGACAUUGGACAAAUUUGGCAAAGUCUUCUCCAUCAGUGAAGAAAACCCCUUGGCGUAUGAAAAAUGUUCACCAUCUUAGACAUUUGUUUUCUUAUUGUAAGAAUAUUUUUAACAUUGUAACUUUUAACAUUAUUGUAAGAAUAUUUUGAAUUAUACUUCAGUUAUCAAUUUAUAUCAUAUAUCUUUUGUUGAAUUUGAAGUAUAAUUUAUAUUUGCUGUUUUUGGUUAGAUUUCAUGCUAUAGGAAGGGUUGUAUAUGGAUAGAAAUUGAAUGUUACAAAUCUGCCAAAGUUAGUGGCGUUUUUUCAUAAGAGCUGCUAAAGAAUGCUAUUUUUGGCGGUGUUUGUAAUAAAAGAGCCGCUAAAGGUCAUGUUCUUUAGCGAUGUUUGUGGGUAAAGCGCCGCUAAAGAUCAUGUUCUGUAGCUGUGUUUGUGGAUAAAGCGCCGCUAAAGAACAUGACCUUUAGCAGCGUAUUUUCACAUAAACGCCGCAAAAUUUAGCGGCUUUGUCUAUAGCGACUUUUUUUGCAGCGCUUUAAGUUUUAGCGGCGCUUUUAGGCCUAAAAAAGGGCCGCUAAAAGCCUGUUUUGCUGUAGUGAGCAUAUUUACAUUUUCGUCCCAAUUUCAACUAACACCCCAUCUAUUUCCCACUUCCCUUUUUCGGGCAAUUUCAACUAACACCUUCAUAUCAAACAUAACUAUUUUUCAAUUUUUCUUCUUUAUUUCAUUAAUAAAAUUAUCAAUCUAUUUGUUUUUAAAUAUAUAAUUUCAUUAAUAUUUUUUAAAUUAUAAUAUAAGAGUUGUUGUUUAUUUAUAGUUUUAUUACAUUAUUUACUCUCUCUUUUCUAUCAAGUUUUUUAAAUUAUAAUAUAAGAUUUAUUUUAUCAAUUUGUGGCUUAUCCAGUAUUCAUCUAUUUUAAUAAUAACUUGAGUUCCAGUCAUUAUCAUACCAGAAAGAGUUCCAUUUAUUCUUUAUCGUAAAUUUUAUAAAAAAAUAUACAUUUUAUUAUAAUACUAUAUGUGUUACGAAUAAUAUUUUAUUGUGGAUGCCCAUAAUUUUCAAAGUUGUAACCUCUAAUGUAGUAACCUUAAUGAAAUUAUGAGGCUUUUAUAUUGUAAUCAAGCCUCUAUUUAUUCUUUGUAACUUAAACAGAAGCAUAUUUUCUAUUAUAUUGAUAUUUUUUAUAGAUAUAUAUAUAUAUAUAAGGAAUCAAAUAAAAAGUUAUUUACCUUUCUAUUAUAUUGAUAUUUUCUAUUUGAUUUGUUCUUUUCUUUCACUAUUCCAUAAUAUAUUAUCAGUACGAUUUUAACCAAGAGUAACAUGUUAUUAGAUUGUGUCAAAAUUUUGUUGAGAAUCAUUAGAUUGUUUCCUUUUUCUUCUAUUUAGCCCCAAAUUGCACCCCUACACAAAAUUCAACAAAAACAUGGAAAAAUUAGUGGUGCACUCUCAUAAAUUAACCAAUUUAAUUACAUAAAAUAUGUAACUUUAGCAUUUUAUCAAUCAUGUUCUUUAGCGGCAUUUGUGGGUAAAGCGCCGCUAAAGGUCAUAUUCUUUAGCAGCGUUUGUGAUAAAAGUGCCACUAAAUAUCAUGUUCUUUAGCGGCGUUUGUGGAUAAAGCGCCGCUAAAGAACAUGACGUUUAGCAGCAUUUUUUUACAUAAACGUUGUAAAAUUUAGCGGCGUUGUCUAUAGCGACGUUUUUUGCGGUGCUUUCAAAUAGUUUUAGCGGCGCUUGUAGGCCUAAAAAAAUGCCGCUAAAAGUCUGUUUUGCUGUAUGAGCAUAUUUACAUUUUCGUCCCAAUUUCAACUAACACCCCAUCUAUUUCCCACUUCCCUUUUUCAGCCAAUUUCAACUAACACCUUCAUUUCAAACGUAAUUGUUUUUCGAUUUUUCCUCUUUAUUUCAUUAAUAAAAUUAUCAAUCUAUUUGUAUUUUAAAUAUAUAAUUUUAUUAAUAUUUUUUAAUUAUAAUAUAAGAGUUUUUGUUUAUUUAUAGUUUUAUUAUAUUAUUUACUCUCUUUUUUCUAUCAAGCUUUUUAAAUUAUAAUAUAAGAUUUAUUUUAUCAAAUGGUGGCUUAUCGAGUAUUCAUCUAUUUUAAUAAUAACUUGAGUUCCAAUCAUUAUCAUACCAGAAAGAGUUCCAUUUAUUCUUUAUCGUAAAUUUUAUAAAAAAAUAUAUAUUUUAUUAUAAUACUAUAUGUGUUAGGAAUAAUAUUUUAUUGUGGAUGCCCAUAAUUUUCAAAGUUGUAACCUCUAAUGUAGUAACCUCAAUGAAAUUAUGAGGCUUUUAUAUUGUAAUCAAGCCUCUAUUUAUUCUUUGUAACUUAAACAGAAGCAUAUUUUCUAUUAUAUUGAUAUUUUUUUAUAGAGAUAUAUACAUAAGGAAUCAAAUAAAAAGUUAUUUACCUUUCUAUUAUAUUGAUAUUUUCUAUUUGAUUUGUUCUUUUCUUUCACUAUUCCAUAAUAUAUUAUCAGUACGAUUUUAAUCAAGAGUAACAUUGUAUUAGAUUGUGUCAAAAUUUUGUUGGACUUCAAGUAUUGGAAUUUAAUUGUUUAAGUUAAGAAUCAUUAGAAUCAAUGGCUAUUUGAGAUAUGCUUGAGGAUGAUCUCAUUCUAUUCAUCACAAAGGUGGAGGUUAGAAAAUCUUUAUGUUUAAACAUUUAUAGCUUUAAAGUUAUUUUAACCUCUUAUUGUGACCUUAUAAUAUUUUGUAAUUUUUUGUAUUAUGGUAUAUAAAAAAAAUCUAACCAUAGUGAUUGAUUAGUAAUAUGAAUUUGUUAUUUGUUAUGUUUAAUAUAUAUUUUAUUUAUACUUAUUCAUUUUAUUUUUAUAUGAGUAAAUGAAGUGUUUGAAGAUUCGAAAUUUUUAUCAUCCAAGUUGAAAAUAAGUGCAAAAGUGUACAUUAUUUAAAAUAAAUUACGCAUUCAUUAAUGUUAUAUGAUAAAAUCAUUACAUGUUCUAAAGAACUAAUAUUGCAUCAAACUGUAAAAAGCUCUUGAAGAGUUAAUAUUUUACCUCCUUGUGAUACAAAAUCAUAUACAAUAUGAUAUUAUUUUUCAAAUCGAGUAGAUAUAUGUUGAGGGAAAUCUUUAUGUGGUUUACAUUAAAACCAUGGAUAGAAAUGACAUGAGAUACUCGUGUAUUUUUAUUAUAAAUAUUCCUUGAAGGAAGACACUUCACUUGUAUGAUUGACAUAUGAGAUAGUGGCAAGAAGUUCAUAGUGUUGGUAUGGUCGUCUAGAUCAUCUCAAAUCAAUAAUGAUGCAAAAUAAUUUGAAGAGAAUUUAUAUGAUUUUAUUGAAGAAUGAGAAGAUAUUUUCAUUUUGAUAAUUGUCAUCAAUACUAGUUCUUUGGAAAAAAAAUAUUGAACUAACAUAAAGUUAGAGGUUGGUUGCAUUUUUUGAUGAUAUCCAAAUAAUAUAUGAGCUCAUGUAUCACAUGUAUGCAACCCAAAGUUUACAGUAUUAUUUCUUGAAAUAAUUUGAUUCUACACAAUCUCUAUAGUAUGCAAUUUGUGCUAACAACGUUGGUGCAUUAUAUCCUAAGCUUGAUUUUCGUAGUUUUAGCUGAGAUAAUAUUAAGUUGUCUAUGCCUAUAUAUGUUAUACUUAAUGGUUAGCAAAAUUGUGCCUCCAUUUAAUUGCUUAACCAUUAAUAUAAGAAUAACUUUAAAAUAAGCAUGUAAUUUUAUUUGCAUAGAGUCAACAUGUAAGAAACAUUUGCCCCAUGAGAAUUGGCUUUCAUUUAUAAGCCAAUAGGUUUCAUAUGACUAUUUGGAUGUAAAAUAUCUAUUUUAUAUUCCACCAUAAUGCACUAAGAUGGUCCAUCAAGUAUGAAGUUGAGAAAAUUUAGAAUUUUUAUUUGAUGGUAAAAGUUGAAAAGAGAUAUAUACUUAUAAUUUUGAAAAAAAUAGUCAUGUUGCAAAUUUUUCUCAAUAUUAGGGGGAGACAAGUUGGACAAAUAAGGAUAAUUAUGUCAUCACUUUUUGUGAUCCCUCACUAAUAUUAUGUGCACAAAGUUUGAAGGAAAAAAGUAUUUGCUAGACAUGUUUAGUGAUGACACUUAGAGAUUGUAUAUACUAGAUGAUACAUAUACCAGCUAAAAUGUUCCAAAUAAUUAUGAGUCCUAGAAGGACAUAGUGAUAAAAAUAAUUUUUGGGCACGCUAGAAGGAUAAAAAACUAGUUCAUUCUAUAAAUCAAAAAAUUCUUGAAAGAAAAGAGUAAGAAAUGAAGCUGGCCACACAUUAAAGGAAACGAGUACUCAUGAAGAGACCUAAGGCAUAACUUUUAAUAAAACCCCAAAAGAGGUUCAAUACAUGGAAUUAUGAAUAUAAUAAGAUAUCUCGAUUAGUUAUAUCAUAACUAAAGAUGAUGGGGUUGAUAAAAGGAAAUUGUUGUUAACAACGAUAAUCUAAGUAGAACAUUUCAAUAUUAUGGUAAAAUGAGUAUUUUGAAUGAAAAUAUACUUGAAAGUAUUUAGAUGGGAACAACUCAUCAAAAUAAAUAGACGUUUCUAUUAUAACUUAUGAAAUGUGUCUCGGACAUGAAGUCCAAACAUUCGACAGGUGUAAAGCCAAGUGGAGUAUAUGUUAGCAUAAUAGUGAAAAAAUACAAAUCAUAAUAUAUAAAAUUGACUUGUAAGACAAACUUUCCCAAGACACUUGAUUUUGAUUAUGAAAAAUGAUUAAUUUGUGAUCUUAUCAAUUGAACAUACUUUGUAUAAUCAACAAAUUAUUAAUUAACCUCAUUUAACCAAUUUCCUUCAACACAUUUCAAAUCAAAUUAAUGUGUUGAGCACGCCCUUAACCCUUUUUCUUGAUUCAUUGCAUAGUCUAUUUCCAAGUACCAUAAUCAUCAACAUUUCAAUAUAUAAAGUCAUAACAUAAUGAAUCAUAGUUAGAAUUUUUUUUACCCUAUUAACCAAGUAUGGAACAAAAAUAAAAACCUAAUUUGUCAAGCUCAUUCAAUCAGCUUAUAUAUUAUAAGAAGAGCCUAAGUAUAAAUCCUAUACAUGAUUUCAAAUUCAACUAUUUAUAUUUGAGAUUCAAUUUAAAAUUCAUACUGAAAUUAUCAAAUUAACUCGUAAGCUACUCACGCUAAACAUUAAGGUACUCGAAUUCAAGUGGCUAGAUAUCAUAAACACUUUUAGCUUGUAAAACUAUUUCUAAGGGUCAGCCCAGAAUCAUGGUUGAACCCAAAAUCUGGUAACAAAAAUUUAAUUGAGCCAUCAGCCUAAAACAAAAAAGGCUUAAAAGGUUGGCACCCGAACAAUCAAAGAUAAACACCACCAUAUGCCACUCCCUGAAUCCGAUACAUACAAUAACACCCUUCACCACUUUUAUUCUUCUCCUUUUUUUUAACCUCAAUUUGGAUGGUCGCAUUUCUCUUUUUAGUGCUUUAUAGGGUUUGGGCUUUCAGAAUCCUCAGAGAUGCAAUUCAUGGAUCCCUCUAAGAAAUGCAAGCUUGAUGAAAAUGGUAUUAUUUCAACGGCAUCAGAACCUGACCCAAUCACCAAACUAACCCCACAAGAUGGCCGCAAGCUAAUCGAGCAAUUUAUCGUCGAUCAACUCCUUGACGUCCUCCAAGAUGCUGUUUGUUGUCACCUUGAUGUUCUUUCCGCCGUACACUCUAUUGCCGAUCAAGAUCCAUCUCAAAGGAAGCUUUUCAUCCGUGGUUGGGUUGGGAUACUACAACCCAACCCAACCCACAUUAGCAUACUACCAUGCGGUAACUUCUAGUGAUUUCUGUCUGUAACAUUAGACAGGUUAACAGUUAAAUCGUUCAACUGAAAGAUUUCUUUGAAGGAAGAGGUCAAUUGAUUUUUUUUGGAAUCAUUGUGUACUCAGUUGCAUUUAAGACGGGUAUCAUUCAUAAAGUAUAUAUCUACAUCAAGAAUGGUAGCCUCUUAUAUUAUAUUCAUGUAUUUAUUUUGCAUCUUUAAUUAUAAUAGGAUUUUUUUUGUUUAUUUAUAGUUUUAAUUAUAAUAUUUUUUAAAUAUGCCAAAGUAAAUUAUGUACCAAUUUUAAACUUCUCCUAGGUAAUUUAACGUAAGGGCAUUUAUGUUAUUUUACCACUUAUGAUAAAACUAACCUAAUUUUAGAUCUAAGUGUUUACCAACCUUCUUUUAGUCAAAUUAUGCAAGCCUAAAAUUUUUAGCUUAAUUUGAGUUUGUUUACUAUGUCUAAUUCAAGUUUUAUUAUUAAGAACUAAAUUGUAACUUAAACAAAUUAGAAUACCAAUUUAAAGAGACAAAAAUUCAAAGCCCCAAAACCCACACGGGCAUGUGGGUAAGUGACACAGGCGUGUGGAAACUGGAGCUAUCACACACGGGUGAGUGGGACUGAAAAAUAUGAAAUAAAUUAAUCCAUUUAAAUUUCCAACAACCAUGCUAUACUACCAAACCAAAUAAUGUUAGAAGCUUUGAAUAGGGGCGAAUCUUAAAAAAAAUAGAAGAAUUAGAAUUAAAUUAUAAAAUUUUGAGAAGUUGUCAUGUAUUAAUUUAUUAUUUUUUAAAGGGUCUUAAUAGAUUUUUUUUCCCCAUUUUGGUUUGGCCAAUACCCCUGUCUGCCUCUUUCAAUUUGCUUCAACCCUUAGCCCAAUAUUCGAUUUGUUGUGGAAGUUUGACGCAUAAAAAUUCCUUUUUUAGAGGUUUAAAUUAUAAAUUUUUAUUAACAAAAUAUAAAAGAAAAAAACAUGUGUAGACAAGCCAAGAAACCUUUGGGAUCAUACAGGUGAUUUUGAGAUGUUCAUGGUUAUUUUGGUGGAGAGGGUAAAAAAGAAACAAAUGAUUCAUUAUAUAUGAUAUAAUUAUGAAAUUCAAGCCAUAUAUUGUAUGUUUCAUCCAUACAAAUUUCUUGUAGCAUUAAAUGACUCGUAGGCUUGCUGAAUUUCUUUGAAAGGCCCAAAGGCAAUUUAACAUUCACAAAAUAAUCUCUAAAUAGUGUAAAGACAAAUCAAAUCCACAGUAGCAUUAGAGUUGAUUAAGCUAAGCAUUGGCAAAUAUUACUUUGAUUUUGCAUGCAAUAUUGGCAAAACCCCCUCUUACAUUAGAAAAACAACAUAAUCCAUGAAACAUUGAUAGCCCAAUACAAAUUUCAUCGAGAAAAAAGUCUCUUUGUUUUGUAGAACAUGAUAGUAAAGAUGUGGAGUUUCGUUCUUCUUAUUGGCCUCCUUUAGUUUUCCUUGAUCAACAACCACUAGCCAAAAACACAAUUAGAUUAGAUUAUGAAUGAUACUUUCAACUAUGACAAUAUUAAAUACAAACCACUCUAAAUAACUCUAAAUAAAUGGAAAGCAGCAAAUUACCAGACGAGGCAAGCUAGCUCAAUUAAGACCAUUGUGUUAUACUUGUCUCUGAAUUGAAAAAUUUAGAAGGAAAUAAAGAGAAAGACUUAGAAAAUACUUGAAAACAGAAAAAAAAAUUAUGUCAUUUAAAAUAAAAAAUUUCUAUUCAAGCCAUUUAAAAUUUGUAAGAUUUUUAAAAUUUUAAAAUGAUAAAGGUAAAAUUGUACUUUGGCACCCCAAAAAUGAUAAAACUUUGAUUUAAUUAUUUAAAAAUUAUAAAAAUAUAGGCUAUUAAAAUGGUGAAAUUAUAUUUUUACUAUAGUAAAAAUUACAAUUUAAUUUCACCCCUAAAAGGAUUUUCUGGCUUCGCACCUAAUAAAAUCUUUGGCAAAAGACUAAAAUAAAAUUAUACCAUGAAUGGAAAAAGAAACUAAUAAAAUCCAAUCUAACAAAGAAAAUAACUUGAUGUCCAAAAGCUACCAUAAACCGUAAUUCAUGGGAAGGCUUGUUGCUUAUUUUAUUGGUUUCCAUUUUGAAAGAAGUUUGAAUUUUGAAGAGAGCCUACUACGUGAAAGCAAAAGAAAAAAAAAUAGUUUAUAUGAUUAAAAUUCCAGAAUAGAUUAAAAAUGUUGAAUUAAAGAUAAAAUUAAGUGUGAAUUAAUAACCACAAGUGUACUCUUUACUCACCAUCUCUGUUAAAAAUGUUGGAUGUUGUUUAGCAACCUUUGUUUGAUUUUCUUCAGCUCAACCACAACAUCUUUCAUAUCUUUUCUUUCUUCUGGUAACUCAGCUGAACAAUUCAAAGCCAACUCCAUGAUAGAUGAAAUACAAUUUGCUUUAACAACAAUGUACUCAUCCUCUCUUCUUAAUAAAUCAACAUCUGCAAUUUCUAUCGCUCCUUUAGGCAAUGAUCUUUCCAUCCAAUGCCUUAUACUCUCUUCUUCAACAAAAACCUUAUCAGUUGGCUUUUUCUUUGUGAAAGUUUCUAUAAGGACGAUCCCAUAACUAUAGACGUCAGAUUUUAUAGAAACAAUUCCUGCUGAUCCAAAUUCUGCAUUUCAAGUAUAAUUAGAACAUCAUUCAUCCUCAAUUAUUUCUAAAACGCUUAUUCAAAUAUCUAUCCACAUACACGUGAAACAAGAAUAUAAAAUACAAAUUAGGAAAAUAAUCAUACAAAAAUAAAAAAAAGAAUUCACCUGGUGCCAUAUACCCAAUAGUUGCAAGAGUCAUGGUUUGCUUCAUUACUUCACCUUCUCCCAACAAUUUGGCAACGCCAAAAUCUCCAACAUGUGCAACCAUGUCUUCAUCUAGUAAAAUAUUGCUUGGUUUUAUGUCACAAUGAAUUAUAGGUGUUGGAUGUCCAUUGUGGAGGUGUUCUAUAGCUACCGCAACAUCUAUCAUUAUGUCGACCCUUUGUAUGAUACCAAGGAAACAAUUUUCAGAAUGUAACCAUUUCUCAAGGUUUCCAUUAGACAUGUAAUCAAGCACCAAGGCUUUGAAGUCAACACUUGAGCAGUAAGUAAUGACCUUCACAAUAUUACGAUGAACUAUAUUAAGCAUAGCAUCACAUUCAAUGUCAAAACUCCUAAAUGCUCCCUCUGUUUGCAAAU
rnacentral:lncRNA from 1 species